rnacentral:lncRNA from 1 species
AAAUACAAAAACAUACAUCUCAUUACAACGGUGAGAGGAUCCUCACACCUCAAAUUAGGAAGACUUAAAACAACGGAUUUCGAUUUCCUUGUUCUACAAAUUGAUUGAAUAUUUUUCAAGGUCUAACCCGUUAUGUUAUCAAGCUCCAAUACGAACCUCAAAACCAUGGCUACAUACAUCUUUUCUUGAACAAAACCAUGGCCGCAUGCAUCAAUUAUCUGAGAACUCGUGUCUCAGCUGCCAAGCUUUUAAUCACAGAACAAAAAAUAUUGAAAAAACUUAACAAGUAUUAUGUACAUCAUAAUAAGAACAAAAGGUAGCUGCUACAUCUGUGUCUAUGUUUGAUCAAGAAGAUCAUUAUUUGGGUAAUUACAAGCUCUUAAGUUUGACUACUGGACAGCUAACUUUCUAGCACACAGAGAGCAAUAAUAUCUCUUCUUGGUCUUGAAAUAUAGAGGCAAGAAGCAAAACCUCCACUGGCUCUCUACAUCCAUGGCUUGAACCGUCCCUCCACAGUAUGGGCAUGCCCCGGGUGCUGGUUGCCUUGCUACCACCUUCUCAUCCUCAUCACACACAAAUACCAAGCACAUCUUUCCCUUUCUUGAUUUGAACUUUCUUCUUAAUUUCCUCUUCUUGAUCGAUGAUUCCUAUCAGAGUACUGUGGAUUUUCUUGACAGGGGUUGGGGUAUUUUAUAGAGACAACUUGGAGCAAGAUGCUUGAGAUGUCUGGAAAGAUGUAGAAGGCAUAGACAGGAAGGGAAGGGAAGGGAAGGGGAAGGAGGUGGAGGAGAGAAGUUUUGUGCUAACCGUGUGAGUCUAGAAGAUUCUGACCGACUCGGUUGAUUUCCUGUUUAUUUCUUAAGAUAAGAAUCUUUAUGUCAUGUCGCGUAAACUCGUUCAAUAAUUCAUUAGAGCAGUAAAACGCGUUUAGCAGGAUAUUUUUUAAAAAAUAAAAAAUUUUAAUUUUUUUUAAAAAUAAUUAUACAUGUAAUAAUAAAUUGACUUGACUUUUAUUAAUAUAGAUAAUGUUUGAUAUUAUAGUAUAUGAUAUUUUUCAAAUGUUUUUGAUUUGUUAAAAUAAUAUUUUUAAAAUUUUUAAUAUUAGUAUAUUAAAAUAAUAAAAAAUAUAUUCAAAAAAUAUUAAUUUAAGAAAAACGAUUUUUUCAUUGACUCAACUUUGACCGAUACUAAGUUGAUAUAUUUAGACAUUUCUUAUAAUAUUUUUUACGGUAGCUUAUUGGGCUGUUUUGAAGUCCAGUGCUUUUCUAUCUUGUGCUAAGCCCAUUUAGACUGAGAUCAUGAAUGAAUUCUUUUAUUAAAAUAAAUAUAUAAAAAGAAAGAACAUUAUAUUUCAACAUCAGAAUUAGGGACGUGCCUCGAAUAUAUAUCCUCGAUCAGCUAUAGCCUUCCAAGAAUAUUAUGCUUCUGCUUAUAAGCUCUGGGAAUUUGCAUUAUAUUUCUUUUUUAUUUUAGCGGUGUUCCUAGCUUGAAGGUUUUUCACUAUAUAUAUAUAUAUAUAUAUAUAUGGUGCAAGCAGAAGACAGCUGCGCUAUAUUUUCACUUGCCUGGCAGAACAUGUUCCCAAGCAGAAGGUUUUUUGACAGCCAAGACCGAGGUGGAUAGUGUUUGCGUGUUGAAAACAGAACGUUUUCAUUUCUUUCUUUGUUUUUUAAGAAAAAUGAAAUAUAAUAUCUGGAAUGGUUCUGCUAGACGAUCUGGAAUAUAAUAUCUGGUAUAAAAGCCAAUUCAGAAUUUAGAAUAACCUGUCACAGGAAUAAUCUAAAGUUUAUUCUAAAAAGUCCAGUAAAAUAUUGGAGUUCGAAAAAAGAAAAAAAGCAUAUUAUGAUGUUCUAACUUUAUCGUGAUUUGAAGUGGUUACCUUCUCGAGAUAAAAAAAGAGGAAGAUAUUAGAGAUGGAGAGGACAUGUUCCCUGUCUUUUUUGUUUUUGAAAUGACAGAAAAUUUUAUUUUAUUUAUUUUAUGUUUUUCUCUCUAUUCUUUUUCAAUGAAACUCGUUUAUAUCCUUUAUGUAUGUCUUUUCUGCUAUGAAACACUAACCAAAUGCAACAUAAAUAAAUUAGUCCAAAGUUGGAAUCGGUUCUUCUCCUCCUCUUGUGCUUGUUCUUUGAUACGGACAAAUCCCUCUUUGAAAACUUGAAGUUCGAAGAUGUUGCUGGGAUAUGGAGGAGGCUAGGCCUCAAAGUUCUCUAGACUGGAUUCUCUUGGACUAUGGUUAUUUCUGUAACACGCUGCAGUUCAUUUUUUGCUGGCCCUUAUGAACACCUGGGAUUUGGUUAUUUCUGUGAGUAAUGAAGAUGCUUUUUCAGAAGUAACAUGCUGAUGUUCAUUUUUGGACACCAGAGGAAACAUUUUCAUUGAUGAAAAAGGAAGGACAAACCUGCUUAACCAAAUAAGUAAAAUUGACAGCAGAAACGCACUAGACAGAAGCAGCUAUCUACCAAGUACAAAAUUGCAUGACUGUAUAAUACAAAUUGAAUGUCCUAAUUUCCACAGCCUCAUUACCAAGGAGCAGCUGAUGGAUCCCUACAAUGUUGUUCGAAAUUUCAGUAGAAGCGCAGCAUAACUGUAUAAUCUGGAACUUUAGCGUGUUUUGAGGCUAAACUACACUAGACAGGCUUCUUUCUUGUCAACAAUGCUACAGCCACCUAAGUUAUUAAAAGAAGGCUCAACUUCAGCAGUCAAGGUAUGUCAUUAAAAAUCAUUUCCCUUCUGGUUUCCUGUCAGAAAUCUUUGAUGGUCAUAUUUUAGUAUGCAAUGCAGAUGUAGCAAGAACUUUCAAACUCAGUCACAAAACCGAAAUCUGAACAGAAGAUCUGUUCUAGACAGGGGUUAGUGAAGAUGUUUAAAAUUUAUGUAUAAUUUGAUGUUUAGUACCACAAGAAUUGAAACUGGUGAGAUGUAGCCUUCCAGAGAAAUUAUGUUUUGGUUCACUGGCUCUCCUAAAUCGUCUAAUCGUUGCCUGUUGUGCAGGGAUAACGAAGCUUUCUAAUGCAGAUCUCUUGAAUUUUGCAUUUGGUUGUGGUCAAGAUGCAUGUUGUCUUUGAUUUCAGUUCAGUUCCUAAGUUGAAGAGAUUUGUCAUAGGUGCAAACGAAAGACAGCUGCACUAUGUUUUCACUCGGUUGUCAAAACAUGUUCCCAGGAUGAGGAGUUUGACUGUCAAGACCAGGUAUGCAACAACCAGUUAGUGAUCGGUUACUCUCUUAAGAUUGAAGAAAAUGAGACAGUGAAGAUAGAGAUGGGGUAUCAUAUUUUGAAAGUACAGAAAUUCAAUCCAAAAUUAUCAUAAAAACAAAUUUAUUUUAUGUUUAUGUUUAUGUUUAUGUUUAUUUAUGUCUCUGUCCCUCGAACUAGAUAUGUUUUUGUUCCUUCUAACCUGGAACUAACCAAACACAGCCUAGGAAAAUGAUGUUUUUAUUUAUUUUUCAGUUUUUUUCUCAAGAGAAUUAUUAAUUACUAACAACUGGUGAUUUCUUGCAGGUUAUAUGCAUACCAGAAAGAAUCACCAUCUUCAAAGAUGUUGCGGAGUUAAAUCUACUUUUCAAUAGCAACACAGAAUUUGAUAUCUGAUGAUUGCUAUUCUUAGAGCCUCUCCCUCCCUGCAAAAGCUAUAUUUUGGAGGUGAGUGAUGUGUGGUGCAAUUAUUCUCAAAAGGAUCCCUUUUUUUGGUUUGAGUCUAAUGCCGAGUUCACUCUUAGUGGCUCAGUUCAGAUUAGAAAUUUAAGACGAAGAGGAAGAAGAAGAGAGAAGGGAGAAGAGCAUAUAUUUGUGAAGGAACUUCAUUAGAUGUUUAGGUUGGCUAACUUCUGACUCUACUUAAUGUCACUGCCUGUUCUAAUUGCAGACUUGUUCUUCAGAAGACAUGGACCGAGGAAAGCUUGAGCAUAGUGAACAUGUCCAUAAGCAUCUGAAGCAAGUUGAAAUUGGUGGGUUUUAUGACUCCUCAAACCAGAUUGAAUUCGCCAUUUACUUGUUGAAACGUGCUAUUUCCCUAUAGCGGAUGGUCAUCAAUCCAGUAGGGAAAUAUUGUUCUGCGUUGAGGCAGCCAUGGGAUGAAGGAGAACGUGAAGAAGCUUAUCGAAAACUGCAUGAACCUGACUAUCCACUGAAUGUAUCUGAAUCUUUUGGGAUUCGACAAUCAAGUUUAAGCUGUUUAAUGUAUUAGGAUGUGCACUUCCUUUUGCCCUUUUGUGUCUGAAGCUCUCUGUUCUUGCUUGCGUUCUAAGCCCUUGUUGAGAAUCAACUCUCUUCAAUGGCAGAAAAUGGAGAUUCCAGGCUCAUCGCCUCCUGUGUUGGGAUACAGAAAAUUGAGCUGUUUCAAAUUAAUUUUUUAUAACACAUCUAAUCGGAGUUAAUCCAACCAAUCGUGUAAUGUAAAACUAGAUUAAGAACAAAUUAAUUAAUUAAUUAAUACCGCCCAUGAGAAUCACAUACAUAACAGCAAACUUAUGACAAUGAAUCACGUAAUUUGGACCCAGUCAUCCAUUUACCUUUACACAUAACAAUACUGUGUAAAAAAAGAUUUCAACAAGAAAAAUCUUUAAGAUUUUGCACAAAGUCUCCCUUUUCUAGCUUGUUUGUCGCGUUCUUCCAUGUAAUCAAUCGCACUUCAAAUUACGGCAGAGAAAAUGUAAAAAAAAAUAAUGAUAAUGUUUUAUAGCUGGGCCGUGUUGGCGAAACCGCACAGUUCUUCACCAUUCUUUUAGCUUUGGGACUGUAAUGGCAAUUAAUUCUAAAAAUAUUUUUUAUUUUUUAAAAUUUAUUUUUGAUAUUUUAGUAUAUAGAAACAUAAAAAAAAUUAAUUGAAAGCAGAUAAAAAAUAAUUUUUUUUUCCAAAAAGCCUCUCAAGUACAUAUCUUCAUGCUUUUGAACGCAUGGUUUUCUCUUUUCAACCAUAUCUGAACGCUUUUACACAACUUUUUCCAUCUGUUCUUGAGUCUCUGGGUCAGCAUUCCAUUCCCAGGAAAAGCAUGCGAGGCUCCACUUUGAAGAUAGCAUCAAAGUGUGGGGCAAAGCUGCUCUGGCAGCGUCCAUGGAUGUCUUUUCGGAGAAGAAUAGGUUCCCUCUUCAUACACACACGUGUCGAUCAAUCCAAAGAAGCUGCUAAAAGCAUAAAAAGACCACACUGGUUCCUUCCACACACUCGCAAGUCCACAUCGUACGGCUAUACGAGAUUAUUUUAGAAAUUGUUUUAUAAUGCUUUUUUUUAUUAAAAUAAUAUUUUUAAUCCUAACCCAUCAAAACAAUUUAAAAAUAUAAAAACAUAUUCUUUUACUCUCGGUAAUAAUUCUUUUUAUGAAGCAUAGUAUGAUACAAAAUCAACUAUAUUUCUCACGGCUAGUUAACAUCUCUAUCUCUAUCAACAGUCAAAUCAAGAAAAUAUGGGAUGGUUUUCGGCGCCGUGUGAAGGAGAUUUACCUCAGCAGAAGCAUUACUGUCUGGAGAUGAAUGCCCAAGCUUCACCUAAUAUAUAAUAUAUGAUCAAGUGUUAUUAUUAUAUUAAUAAUGUCCUUGUUAAUUCGAUGUUUUGAUUGCUUUAGUUAAUUAUGCAUGACGCAAAUGCAUGAUUAAAGCAAUGUAUUUUCCUUUUCAACUAUAGUUUAAAUAUACACUCCUAGUCAUUCUUAGUACAUGUAUUUAAUUUUAAAAUUAUGUAUCCAAUAAUUUUUUUAAUUAAUUAAUAUUUACAUAUUCAAAAAAACAUUUUUAUGAUGUGUAUAUGUGUACUUGCACUCGUAUGAUAGAAGGAUGCACACCUUAAUGUUCAUUUAUAUUUGGGAAUAAUUUUAAAAAUUCUUGCAGAAUUAUCAAUUAUUUUAAAUAUAUUAAUUGUUGUUUCGGACCUCUGAUUCAAUAAUUAACAAGAAAUAAUUGAGUAUAAUGCAGGUCAAAUAAUUACAAGAUCCUAUUGUUCUGUAAGAUUAUUCAAUAAUUAAAAGAAGAAUUUGAGAAAUUUUGUUUAGAGAAAAUGGCACUCUAAUCUAGAUCUUUCUACUAAUAAAAGAAAAGGGGAAUUACAACUUCUACAUCUCAAGUUAAUCCAAUAAUACAUUAAUAUUUGUAAUUAAUUAUCAUGAUCAAUAUGCUAUAGAAAAGUGAAAUUAAAUUUCAACGAAGUUGUUGAACCUAACUUUAACUGUAGCAAUAGUCAUAAAAUAUGUAGAUUAUCCAAGACAACUUUAAAGAAAAUAUCUUUUUAAAAAGUAGUAAAUUGAAAAUUAGAUUUAGACUGAGUUUGGUUAGAUUUGAAUCAAUUUUUUACUUGGUUAGUAGAGUUUUUUUUUUAACCCAAAUUGAUUUAGAUUCUAAAUAAAUUUGUCAAGUUGGUUUGAGUUUUACAAUUAUAUUUAUAGUUCGAGUUAUGAAUUGGACAGAUUAACUAGGAUCAAUUAAAAGAAUAUUAUUUCAAUCUAAAAAAAAAGAGUUAAAACAACUUCAUUUAAAAAAAAAUUUAAACUAGGAUUUGAUUAAAUUACAGGUUGAUCCGCUAAGUCAUUUAAGUUUAUUCGAGUCAACAAUAAUCUAAUUUUUUUAAACCAACCUAGGCCAGUUUCGAGUCUACCGCCAAUUCGGACUAGAUUUAGAUGAUGUUUAAGAGUAUAAUAACAAUUAUUUUUUAAAGUAUUUUUUUAUCUAGAAAUGAAUAAAAUAAUGUUUUUUUUAUUAUUUAAAAAUUAUUUUUAACAUUAAUAUAUUAAAAUAAUCUAAAAAUAUAAAAAUUUAAAAUUAUAUAAAACAUGAUUUGCAUCUUUUUAAACUGUGCUAACACAUUAUUUGUAUCAUUUUUGUUUUGGAGAGAUGGUUGCAUCAUUUUUGCUUUGGCUUGAAGAAAGAAGAUGAGCUGUUGUCUACAAGUCAUACCUAACAAAUCAAGCAACAAUGAAUGUGUGGAUGGUCUACGUAGCCCGCUUCACAAAUCAUUAUCCAACUUUGAUAGAGACGUUCUUCAAUUUUGAAGUGUUCAUCACAGUUUCGACUCUGAUCAUUUCAGCCAGAAAAAUAAAAUAAAAAAAUAAAUCACACCCAAUAUUGUUUCAAUUAUUCUAAUAGAAUAGAAUCCAAUGCCCUCGUUCGUUGAUUAUAAUUCAAACCAAACGUUGAGGGAAAAAGGAGGAAAAGGACUGGUGGGUGGCCUCUUUUAUGACAAAAAAGCAGGUACCUUGCAUAAUAAUUGUUCGUUAAAAACUUCAAGAAAAAUCUAUGAAAUUGUAUCAUACCAAAUUCUCUUCACACUUAAAAUGGGAACAAAUUAACUUCAUAGAAGGUGGAGAGAAAAAACGUGUGCUCCCUUUGGAACAGGGCACAAGGAGAAUUUUCAUACGCUACUUAGAGUAAGAUUUUUUUAGUGAAAAAAAAAAAAAAAACACUUUAAAGGGUUGAAGGCAACAUGUAGAGAAUAUUAUUCAAAAAAUUUAAUGUAAUAUAGAGAAAGGAUGCGCUUGAAAUUUAGUGUGUUUGUUUUUGCAGUAAUUGUUGUGGUUGUGAUUAAAAAAUUAUAUUAAAAAAAUAUAUUUUAUGUUUGUGCAUAUAUAAUAUGUUUUGUUAAAAUUGUGGUUUAAUUUUAUUUUGAUAAAAAUUAUAACAUGAUAUGUUUGGUUAAAACUAUGAUCGUGUUGAUGUUGUAUAUAAAAUGACUAAAAAUAACAUAAAUAAAUUCAUUCUUUUUUCUUUGAAGAAAUAAAACAUUUAGUCCAAACAAAAAUCGAUAAAAAAAUAAAAUUUUAUUAUUAAAAAAUAAAUAUUAUUGUAUCAUUAAAUUUGAAAUGUCAUCAUAAACAUAAUUCAUAUGGGAAGUUUCUUGAUACCCACGUGGUUGUUAUUGUAAAGAAUAUUAUUAAAAAAAUACUAUUAUAAUAUAAAAAAAGAUGCGCUCGGAUUUCAUCUAGAUUGAUAUUUAAGUUAAUUCAAUAAUAAUUUUUAUCUUUAAAAACUAAUUAAAUUUUUCUAUCAAAUUUUAAAUUCAAUAUUAGAUUAAUCUCAAAUAAAUUUACUUGAUACAUGAAACAAGAUUAGUUUAGUAAUUUUAUUGAUUACAUAAAUCUUUUUGGAGUAAUUUCCUUGUCACCUACUACCGAUUAGCAUGUCUAUACAUGAAAGAGAGGGAAGAGGAAACCUCAAAUUAUCACGUAACCUUUUACCCGAUCCUCAAUUUUGUUCCAAGACCAAAAGUUUAGUGGUUAGGUCUCUAUCGUCUUAAUUUUUUUUUUAAUUGAGUCCUACCAUGCUUAUCCAUACUAAUACUAGUAUAUAUUUUUCUUCUCUUUUCUCCAAUUUUUUCAAGAAAAAAGUCAUUCUGUUACAUAAAUAAUUAUAAAAAACAAGGGCUAAGAAAACUUUUUAUAAUAUUCAAACUGUAAUUAGUGCUAUUUUAUAAAUUAAUGUUUAAGGUAUUAAUUAAUAUUUGUUGACAUCGGCUAUAACUUGAAUACCAUAAAAUUUAUCGGGAAUAGGAAUCCAGACAAGAAAUGUUUGAAACAUCAGUGACCCAAUCGAUGAAAUAACUUGUUUUGGGCUGAAACAUGAGAAAUGAUAAUAUAUUAGGGACAAAAUUUGAGAUUUUCUCAAAAUAAAGAUAGAGAAAUCCAAGUGGGUAGUCACAUAUCAUAUCAAGCAAAUAAAUGAGAUCUCAUCCAAAACAGCGCCAUGAGAGCUGGGCCACCCACACUAAUUAUUAAAGCUAAAAAAAAAAAAAAACCAACCCCACUCUCGGUGGUUGCAUCUCAUAGUUGGCCAGAGGAAACCAAACCAUUAAUCCCACAAAAAUCUUCUCCUGUCCAAAUUUCCCAUCUCCCUAACCUCGCUAGCUAGAAAGCUAUCUAGCCAUGCUUAGCCACAGCAGCAAGAUUAUCAAAAGAAUUAGACUUCCUCUCCCCACCGAGAAGGCUUCCAAUUACAUCACCGCCACAUGAUUUCAGUGAAUUCUUGGAAUUUCUUCAGGUUUUAUGGUAAAGUGAUUUCAUGAUUUGCAGGAAUUAUGGUACGUCACUGGAUAGCUUCUGUUUUGUAAGUUACUACAAAUUCCUUCCCCUUAUUCCGGUUUCUAGAAAAACAAAAACACCGUCCUAAAAAUAACAUUAAACUACUCAAGAAUUAUUCACUUUUUUGACAAGCCAACUAUCUUGCCCUGUAAAGUACCCAUCUUACCUUGUCAUCAUACACCACCUCCCCUUUUUCCAUCCCUUCUUCUUCAAUCUCUCCUAUGCUAUAAAUUUGCUGGCACCCCAUUCCGUUCCGGUGCCAAGAAAUGGCGGAUUUGAGUGAAAAUCAAGAAAAAACCGAAGAGAAACACGUUGAGCCUCUGAUUCCAGGGUUGCCCGAUGAGGUAGCAGAGUUGUGUCUUCUCUACCUUCCAUAUCCUUACCAAGCUUUGGUACGUUCAGUCUCUUCAUCAUGGAACAGGGCAAUAACAGACCCUGCUUUUCUUGUCUCCAAGAAAUCUCUGUCCCUUUCCUUGCCGCAUGUCUUCGUGCUUGCAUUUCAUAAAUCAACGGCCAGGAUCCAGUGGCAGGCUUUGGACCCUCGAUCUGGCCGGUGGUUUGUCCUACCCCCCAUGCCUUGCCCGAAGACUGUUUGCCCACCAGCGUUUGCAUGCACCUCAUUGCCACGUCAAGGGAAACUAUUGGUUUUGGGUGGGAUGCGGUCGGAUACAGAGACUUCAAUGGACAGCACCUUUAUCUACCGUUCAUCUACGAAUCAAUGGUCCAUAGGGUCCCCGAUGUUGACCCCGCGGUCGUUCUUCGCCACCGGGAAUGUUAAGGGCAAGAUCAUAGCCGUUGGUGGUAGUGCGUCCGGGAUAAGCGACUCAAUCACAGCCGUUGAGUGUUACAACUCAGAGAGUGGGAAGUGGGGCCCAGCUGCUAAAAUGCGCGUGGGGCUCGCUAGGUACGAUUCAGCUGUGGUAGGCAACAGAAUGUACGUGACGGAAGGGUGGACGUGGCCCUUCAUGUUCUCACCAAGAGCAGGGAUCUACGACGCCGACAAGGACACGUGGCAAGAGAUGAGUAAUGGGAUGAGGGAGGGGUGGACGGGACUGAGCGUGGUGCUCGGCGAUAGGUUGUUUGUGAUAUCAGAGCACGGUGACUGCCCGAUGAAGGUGUACGUUCCUGAUCUCGACACGUGGCAGUACGUGGGCGGGGACAGGUUCCCCAGAGAGGCAAUGCAGAGGCCCUUCGCCGUGAACGGAGUGGAAGGGAAAGUGUAUGUGGUGUCCUGUGGGCUGAACGUGGCAGUAGGAAGUGUGUACGAGGCAGACAAAGGAGAGUUUUGUGUGAAAUGGCAAGUUUUGGUCGCCCCAAGAGCUUUUCAUGACUUUGCUCCUUCGAAUUGUCAGGUGCUUUAUGCCUAAAAUCUUUUAUUAUUAGGAUUUAAUUGUUAGCUAGUGAUCUAUUAUUGUAUGGCCAAGGUGGAGAUCUCUUGUUCUUGUGGUUAAGUUUUGUUUUGUUAGGCAAUUUUAUAUGCCAUUAUACUAGUAGUUUGGUAGUGCUUUUUGGGAGUUGUUUCUUCUUGCUAAUAUACAAUUUAGGCAUGUUCCCCUGUAUUUGAUCAUUGAUUGCAUACAUUUCUUGAGGUGUUUUGAAAUUCCUAUUUUUAACAAUAUAAAAAACAUCAUAUCAUAACGAUUUAAAAAUAUAAAAAUAUUAAAUUUCUAGCAAAUAUAGAUUUAACUGGAUUCCAAACAGUAUAUUAGUCUUUUUGAGUAUUUUGAAAUGAAAAAUAUAGUUUUAACUGGAUUCUCAAACAUAAUGGUUUUAUCUUUCCUUUGGCAUGGAUGUUAAGGGUGAGCAUUUUUUAUUCGAUUUGAAUUUUACUUAAAAAAAAACCAACUUGAAUUUCUAUUUUUCUAAGAUUUAAAACUGAAAUCAAGCAAAAAAAUGUUUAAUAUGGAUAUUUAAGGCUCAAAACUAGAAAAAAUCGAUAAAUUAAGAUUCUUCUAUAAAAAAAAAAGAAGACAAAAGGGGUAACUCAACUAUUCAAGUUUUUAUGAUGAAGAAUGGUAACUCAUGCCAUCUAAGCACUCCCUGCAUAAACUUGAGACCGAGAGACUGGAAGAUUGAGAGAACUAGAAAGCUUUUCAAUUCAUUCUAAGACUCUAUCUAAACUUAUCCUGUAUGUUUUAAUUCAAUAUGUAUAUUAUUUUAUAUUAAAUAAUAAAUAUUACUCGGAUAAUGAUAUAGAAUAUGGAUACAAUACAAGAAAUAACUUGGUAAGAAUAUGGUCCGUGAGUCACCAUUACCAUCCACACAUAAAUAUAUACUCAAAUAUUGCUUGAUGACAUCUUAAACUACUCAUGAAAAGCAUGUGUGAAUUCCACCUUUACGUGAAAUUGAAGCAUAAUUUCAUUUAUGUAUUGAGUAAUUGCACCUUAUAAAUGGAUAGUCAUAAUUUAUUGAGUUAUCGGGCUGCUUCGUUGAGAAAAUAGAAUAACAAAGACUAUAUUAAAAAUAAAUACAAUUUAAUCUUUAAAUAAUAUAUUUAUCUGGUCGCAAUUUAAGUUCAAAUAGUAUCUCGAUUAAUUAAUAAAAUUUUCGAGACAUUUUAAGCAGAAAGGGUCAAAAGAAUUAACCAUGUCUCACAAUGCUACUUGUAUUUUAUGAAUUAUGAAAACGGCCCCUGAUAAACCAAUAAUAUUUUCCCAAUAAUAUUUUAUUAAUUAAUACUGGUGAUUUUGACUUCCAACGAGCUGUAUGUUGGUAAUCACAAGCAUACGCGUGGUGGUUAGACUGUUUUAAUAAAAGAAAAAACUCGAAUUAACCCCUAAAGCAUUGCCGAAUUCUUAAUUUUAUCACAAGGAAAGAUAUUCUUCUCAAUUGGAUCCCUAGUUCUUCCAAUGUUGUUUAACUGGGUUCUUGUGUCCAUGCCUGUCUGUAUGUUUCAUUUACAUUUAUUCAAAAUGGUAUAAUUUUAUUUCAUAAAAUAUGUACAUUAAAUGAAAAAUACAAUCACACAAGGAAAAAUAGGACCCAAAAAACAUCAGGGACCUAAUUUAUAAACUCCUUUAGGGACUAAAUUGACGAUUGUCUUAAAGAUUAGGGACAAAACUCAGGGUUCCCCUUUAAUUAACUAGCUACCGAACAGAAUGCUACAGUUCUGAUGAAGUGAAAUGCUUGCCUUCUGACAGAGGAAAUUAAGUGCAAACUUGUCUGAUUCAGAAGGGCUUUUGGCCUAUGACAUUGCCAUGAGGAUCAUAGUUACAUGUGAUGAAUGUAUCUCCACUUCUGCAAGCAACUCUUGCACAACCAACCUUCAAGCUUUGCCUCCAAACUAUCUGGGUGUAAUGGAGGCAAUCCUUGUUGUGAGCACAUGUAUUUGUCUUGUAGCUGUAGUCACCCUUCUCUUCAGACCAAGCAGCAACAGCAUCCCCAGGUUUCCAGUCCUUGCCACUGCCCCAAAACAAAUUCUCGCCGUAAUCGCUAUUCGAAUGAAUCAACGCACAAUCUUCUCGUCGCCGAUGAGCCCAGGAUGAAGCAAAAUUUGCAAGCUUCUUGCUCCAUCUAAGAGGAGGGAGUCCUAGCUUUGCUCUCUCAAGGUUGUGGGGUACUAAAUACUGUUUCACUAUGUUACGAGGAUUUGUAGUUAAUAAACGUCUUGAAAGAAGUUUAGGGGAGUUUUCAUGACCUGAGUCUGACACAGAGAGCAAAGGGAAAGAACAGAAGAAGAGGAGGAAGGUUCCUAAUGCCCUACAUGAAAACAAGGCUCUAACUUCCAUUUGGUAGAGUUUAGAGGUUGAGUGUGAGGAAAUUCUAUUGGUGAUUCGUAGCUGAUGUAUGGCAUCUGUAUAUAUAUGUGUGAGAGAGAGAGAGAGAGUGUGUGAUUUUGUGCACAAACAAGUUGCAAUUUCCAUGUUGAAAAAGAAUCAUUUCAUGUGCGCAGGCUGAUUUGAAGGAGAUUUGAGGUGGAAAACACGUUAGACAAUGUGAAGCAUAUGGUCUCUACAGUUGAUCUUUAACUAACAAAACUGCCUCCAAUCAUUGACCAACCUCAAGUGUUCUUAUUUUAUUUGCCAUUUUCAGAAUCAAGAUAGACUCAUGGAGAAUAAGCUUUAGAUUGUGCCUGUGACAGGUUAAUUAUACUAAAUCCUGAAUUGGUUUUUAUUCCAUAAAAUUUCAUGUCAGGUCAUCUUGCAAAACCAUUCCAUCGUCGUCAGCUCCAUCGUCAACAGGGAGAAGGAUUAGCUCAUUAAAUAUCUCGAUUCGCGGUGUUGAGUCAGCAACUGCAUAAUAAACAGGAACUUGUUUUCUGAAAUUGAAUGCAAUAAGAAUUAGUGCCCAAAUGAUUAUCUAUUCAACUUCUGCUCUUUGUUGGAAUGACGAUUUAUGAGUUCUAUAUCCUAUGACCAGAUCACAUGAGUCCAUGUGAAAUUAUGAAUCCCAACUUGGCAAUUAAGAAUAGCAGCCAGGACUGAAACAACCAUAGAUUCCCAGCGACAUGGUACAGCCUAGCCUAGUCACAGUUAACCCAGAAUAGAGUCGUGGAAUAGUCUUAAACAGCCCUCUCAAUUCAAACGGAUAAGUUUAAAAGUUCUUUGAACUAGGUACUUAUAUACUGCUCCAACAUACUUGUCUAUUUACUCUCUACAAUGACCUUCACAAGUUUCACAAAAAUCAGAAUUUACAGCAUCCUGAAGCAUGUUGAACCAAUCAAAUUUGAGGGCUUUCAGGUAACAGCAGACAUCCUUUUAUCUGUCACAAAAAUGAUGAUCUUCACUGUGAUGCUGCAGCAGGUAUAUGUCAAUGGUCCUUUAUCCCUGUUCUUAAGAUGGCAAGAACAUAACUCAAACUUGAAAUAUGGUCUCUUGUCUUGUCACUAUUGUUCUUUCUUUCUUUCUUUUGGUAAAUGGCCAUCCUAGUUAAGGUUCCAAACAUGUUUGUGCUGGUGAUAUCAACUUCCGGUGCAGCCUGGUAGCUUCUCAUCCUCUUUGUUGAAGAGGUCUCGGAUUUCUAAUGACAAAUUAUUCUUCUUUAUCCCUUUUCUAUCCACCAUUUCCAAAGUUUGAAUAUUAUUUCACACUGCUGCUACCACCACAGCUUCACUUUCUAAAAUCAUAUCAUAAUUAUCAUAUCCGCCCCAACUCAGCGAGUUAAACUGAAAAAUUCAUAGGAAUUUGUUUCGAGUUGGGUUUUGUGACGAGGGACAAAAAAUUAAUGAUAAAUAAAGUUAAGAAUAAGAAGAAAAUGAGUUAGAGAAGAGAAAAAAAGGAGUUAGAAAAACAGGAAGAUUGGAGAUUGAAAAAAUCAAAAGUCUCAAACUUUUAUCCAAUCACCAUAAUCUUUCUAAUAUUUUAAAAAAUAACAUAGAUUUUAAAAUCUAACUAUAACAAACACAAUUAUGUUUAUAACUCAUUAAAUAGAAUAUUAAACACUAACUAAAUCAAGCUCAACUAAUAAAUCCAAAUAAAAUCUGAACCGUUGAUCAUUAGAUAUGUAAAUCUUUGGUGUUCCAUCAAUUUAAUUUAAAUAAAAAAAAAUUAAUCAGGCUAAACUCGUGUAAACAGUAAAAAAUAUCAAUCAAACAAUAAAAAAUGUUAUACAAAUAACAGUUUAUUACAGAAAAUAAAUAUUUUAAAAAAAUUAUUUCCAUGAUUUUUUUUCAUAAUUGUUUUUCCAAAUAAAUCUAUUUUCUUGCAAAUAAUUGCAGCCUUAACAGAUAGUAAUAAAAAAUACAUUGUUAAAAAAUACAAUAAAGGAAAUAAGCAUACUAAUUUUACCAAAAUAUUUUCCCAUCGGUGCAGCAUGCUAUUCAACUGAUGAAACUCUUUAAAAUUAUUUGGGAAGAAAAACAAAUGAAACCUUAAAUUAAUUUUAACUAAUCAAGCACAAUUAACCUUCCCUAAGAAAAUCACAAGCCCAGGCCCACAACCAGUCAAAUGGGUAGGGUCAUCUAACCGGUCUCUAGCACACUGCAAGUCGUUUUCGCUUUUCUGCCAUCCAUUUCUCAAUCCAAAAACCCUCUGAUUUUCGAAAAACCCUAAAUCGAGUUUGAUAAUGGCUUUUAGAGGGAAUGAAAUGAUGAAGAAAAUAAUGUCAAAAAUAGGAGGAGAGAAGAACUUGGCUCCUGGCGUUAAACAAGCUCUCAAAAAAGCAAUUCCUAAUAGCAAAGUUGUCAUGAAUCGAGCCAAACGUGGCCUUUUUGCUGGCCGUCAUAUCCAGUUCGGUAAUCAAAUUAGUGAAGAUGGAGGUAACAAGUAAGCUCCUCUUCACUCUCAAUCUCUUCUAAUGGCUAAUGGGUUUCUGAUUUCUUCUGGGUUUUGACUGAUAUUUGGUUCGAUGCUUGUUUUUGUUGUUGAUAUGAUGCUUUGGGCUGAGGAAUGUUGUGGGGUUGUUGGUAGUGUGUUGUUCUGUGUGUAACGAGGAAAAAGGUGUGAGUUUGUUUUGGAAAAUGGGCAUUGAUUUUAGACGAAAUUUGAUAGUUUUUGAACUGUGGAUUUUGUUGCUGUUGUGGUAAAUUUAGAUUUGUAGAAAUAAUCUGGUUGUUGAUGUGUGAUUGUUGAUGAUGGAAUCUAAAUUGCUGCAUUUAUGAGUCAAGAAGCUAAUAUGGCGACUCAGAUGUUGAUUGGAAAUGUUAAUGUAUCAUUGCCAGAGAAGGGGACGAACUUCUGUGAUUGAAUAGUUUUAAGUAGUUUACUUGUAGGUAAGGAGUGUUUUACCAUUAAGGUGUUGAUUUCGUUUAUCUUGAUUCGUUAUUGAUUUUUGAAUGUGCCGACUUUGUAUAUUUUUUAGAUUCAGUGAGGAGGUUCUGUUCCCAAAGAAGUAGUCUUUUGGGUAAUUUGAUACUGGUCAGAACUUGCUCAGUUGUGAGUAAUGUUUUUAUGUCGUCUGAUUAGUGUGAAUGUGUCUGAUGAGGAUUGUGCCUGUUUGAUUGUUGUACCUUUUUAUUUUUUCUGCUGCAUGAAAGACUUGGAGCUUUCCUGUUUUUGGUGUAAUGAAUGUGUAUUAUGUGCUAUAUAUUGGGAAGGAAGAGUGAUUUAUUCUGUUGAAGUGCUUGUGUGUUGGUGAUUAUAGGAGUAGGAGAAGUUGGAAGCCAAAUGUUCAGGAUAAGAGACUGUUUAGUUACAUCCUAGACCGCCAUGUUCGAGUCAAAGUCACAACUCAUGCUAUCCGUUGCAUAGACAAGGCAGGAGGGAUUGAUGAGUACCUGCUCAAGACUCCUUAUCACAAAAUGGACACAGAAAUGGGCAUCUUGUGGAAAGCCAAGAUUGAGAAGCUAUAUGAAGAGCUUGGGAACAUGGAGGUGGUUUUCUUUACACCUGAAGCUGAAGCCGAGUUGGAUCAGGACUUCAAAGAUAUGAGGCUAGAGCAGCGGGAGGCUCGCAAGCAAUUAAGAAGGCAGAUAUAUGGUUGGUCAGACAAACGGAAGCAGAUUGAAGAACAACAGAAAGAAGAUCUGGACAAACAGAAGCAGAUUGAAGAACAACAGGAAGAUCUGAACCCUAACAGUUGGGGAGGAAAUUCACAUGAUAUUUUCAACAGUCGGGGAUCUAGUUAUUAUUAAUCUGGGUUGCUGUUCACAUUUUUUGUUAGCUACUUUUGUUAUGUUAUAUUGUUAGACUCAAUUGGUUGCUGGCCUAAAGGCCAAAAAACUUUUGUAUGCUUUAGUCGGAUAACAGAAGAAAUUUCUCUGCAAUUUAUUUGGUUAUAUACACAACUUGGCAUCAAAUAAACAUUUCAUUUUCCUGUCUACAAUGGCCUGUAAUCUGGUCGAGAGCUGUCAUCUAGUUGAAGGUUAUGAACAUGAUUAAGGUUUUAACAGGCAGUCAAAGCUCUAGAUUGGAGGGCUUGAAGGAGGGGGACAAUUUGUGUGUGAAAUUGGGAAAGUCCCUGUGACCAUGUCAAAUUUCUUUCCAUUUCCUACAGCAAACAAGAGGAAGGAUGUUUGCAGUCAACUACUCUUAUGUUAUACUAUCAAAUUCUGUUAGGUGAUGAUGAUGGAAGUAUAAUUGAACAUGCUUCUCAUUCUCUUCAAUGUAUUAGUUCUGUUUUUUCCUUCGUAUUUCCUUUUAGCUUGCGACCCAAAAAGGUCAGCUUCCUCUCCUUGAACAGGUCUCCUAUAUUCUAUAUAGAGAAAUCAUUACACUACUAAUGUACUGGGUAACCUUUCCUUUUAAAGGUUUAAACUGAGCUAGACUUUAUAGUACUUUACUUGUUAUUUUAAAAAAUUAUUUUUAAUAUUAAAACAAACAAUAAAACGAUCUAAAAUCAUAAAAAAAUUAAUUUAAAAUAAAAAAUAAAAAAUAAAAAAAUAAAAAUUUUAAUAAAAAAAUAAAAAAUAAAAAAUAAAAAUUUUAAAAUGUAAAAAUAAACUAGACUUUUCAAGUUUACUAAAACUCAUUGAUUUUUAAAGUUUUUUAGAGUCUAUUUAGUAUUGUAGUAGUAACUGUUUUUCAAAGUGUUUUUUUUUAUUUAGAAUUGUAUUGAAAUAAUUUUUUAAAUAUUUUUUAAAUUUAUUUUUGAUAUCAAAAUAUUAAAACGAUUUGGAAACAUAAAAUAAUUAAUUUGAAACAAAUAAAAAAAUAAAAAAAUAAUUUUUUUUUUUUAAAAAACGGUUUUAAAAUACAAAAACAAACAAACUCUGAUUUUCUUUUUAUAUCUUCAUUGUACUAAUGUCGAUCCCUUACUUUUAAAAUCGUUAUUUUAGUCCUUAUUUAUAUAAAAUUCAGGUUAUUCUUAAAUCAAAUUACAUCCUAUUAUAUCACAACACAUAUCCGAUAUGUUACAGUGAAAUGUUAUCUUAUAUGAUAUAGUGAAAUGCAAUUUGAUGCUUUAAGAAUAACCCGAGCUUCUGAUAAUCUAAACAAAAAAUAUCUUGAAAGCAGAGGGUUGAUAGUAGUACAAAUAAAAAUAGAUGGGAUAAAUUAGUAUAAAAUUAAAAGUAAAAGGACUAAUAUAAACUCUUAACACAUAACUUAGUCAGCAAGAAUAAGAUAACAGAUGCUAUCAAAGAAUAAAAGUAACUGACCGUUAGGCACGCGGUUGCAGCCCAUCUUAACAUCACUGUCACGGUCCAAAAUGACAAUCCAAUGAGAAAAAGAACAUGACCAGGUCAAACGGCGCAAAUAGUACAUCUGUGAUUUAUCAAAUCUAACCGCACUGUCACCCAAGUCAUCAAAUCGACAUCUGUACACCUUAAACAAAAGCCAUGAUAAUAUCCGACGUCCACGCUUCCUUGUAAGAACAGAGAAUCUUACUUCACAAUCUUCUUCUCCCUCCUAUAAAUAUUCCCUCACCUCACGAAUUCUCAGCAGCAAGAAAACAGAACUCAAAAUGGGGAAGCAGAAGUGGUCAGUUCUAGGCCCUUUGAAGAGGACUGUCAAGAAAAUAAAAUUUCUACUUCACUUCAGAAAAUGGAGAUUGGCUUCAUCAAUUCUUUGGAAUGCUUCUUCUUCUUCUUCUUCCUCUGGAACGAUACGAAGGUUGAGCUUUAAUGAUCGAAGUGGCUUACGUGGGGUAAUUGAAGAUGUUGAAUCGGAACAUCAAGGCAAGCCGGAUCGAGCUCUUGAAAGGGCAAGAAGUCAUGGGUCAUCAUCAGAUGACGAUGUUGACAAGAGGGCUGAGAUUUUUAUUACUAAUUUUCGACGGCAGCUGUUGAUGGAAAGGCAGGUUUCUUUGCAGCUGAGGUACUACAGAGGGAAUAGUUUUGGAAGGGAUUAUUGAAUAUAAUAGAAUAGAAUAGAAUGUGAUCACUGAAUGUCAAUAAAUUAAUAAAAAAAAAAUUGUUGUGAAAAUAAGGUUGUUUCUAGCUUCCAGUUGUUGGGAAAACUUGAAUUGAAAUUUUUUUCAAUGAUAUAAAAUUCAAGUGUUUGUAUUGUUUGUUUGUUUGUUUUAUCAUUACACUUUAUAUUGCAUGUUGAAGUAAAAUAUUGUAGUUUUAUUCAGGGAAAUAUUAACCAGAUUUACAGUCCAUGACAAGCCUCAAAUGCCGCCCCCCCGUGCUUUCACCUUGUUCCUUCUCUCCCCAAGCAGAAAUGAAACAUUAUCUGGAUUAUAACUUAUUCAGACUGAGCUACCUAAAAUUAGAGAGAAACAAAUAUCUGAAGAAAUUUCUGGUGAGACUACAAGAAAAGGAAAAUAACUGGCAACUACAUUCAUCAUACGAUGAGUCUCGUAAACUAUUCUAGCCUAGAGAAAUUCAUGAAUAUCAUCUUAAAAAAUAAUACAAAUUAUAUCUUGAAAUUUCAUUUAAUAGCUUAAGUUAUUGGUUGAGAUUGUUUUUUGAUAUAAUAUCAGAGCCUCACGAGUUUGAAUCUCACCAUUCCCAUUUAUUUAAUAAAAAUUAACCACAAGACAAGGUAUGUUUAUGCAAGUUUCAAGUUCACAGGAUUUUCAUUUAAAAAAAUAUAUUAGAGAAUAAUAUAAAUUAUAUUUUGAAAUCUUAUUUAACAACUUAAAUUAUUGAUUGAGAUGAUUCUUUGACACACCAUAACUAUCAUACAAUGAGUUGCGUGAGCCUUUAUGGCCCAGGUGACGUUUCUGCACAUCCAUAGACAUCAACAUGCUGCAUUAUUCUGAGGUUCAUCAAUACAGAACUGUCAGUAUUUGUCUUCAAUUGAUCUAAUAGACUUCUCGGAAUAGACAAUGGAGUGCAUAUAAAUGAAGGAAUUAUGCUAUCGUCUCCACGAGAAGUUUCAGCUGGGAAUGUUCAUCCCUUUUCCUUGUCCCUGGCUAAGAUGACACUGAUUAAAGAAAAAAACAAUAAUAACAUAUCAUUUGGGAUUUUUGUUAACAACACAUCAACAUGUCACGAGAUUCUAUGUAUAAUUUAGCAACACACAUUAAGGUUCUUGCACUUUGAUGUUGUUGAGAUUCAGACAGAAGGAACAGAGAAGAAUCAGCAACAGCAUUCAUCACAAAAUGAGCUGCCAAACUAAUUCUAGCCUGGGUAGCAUUCCCAAUACCAUGAACUUCAUCAGGUUGCUUGGUAGUGAAACUCAUCAAUUGUAGAGUAUAUCAGACCUUCAUCUUCAAGUGAUCUAAUAGAUUCCCUGGCGGACACAAAAAAAACGUCAAGAAAAGGAAUUGCUUUACUUGAUACUGUAGGGUGAGGAAGAGGAGAAAUAGAGAGAUUACUUGAUCUUCUACAUGGUAAGUUUCAGCUGUUGGCAAAGUUCAUCCAUCUGCAUCCCCUUUUCCUGUCCACUGCGGUAAAGAACCAGUUCUCAAAAUUCAUAAAGAUGGCACCAACAAAAUGGUCAAGAAUGGCUAGACAAGAUGAAAAGAAAAUCACUCGACUAUUAAUUAAACUCAAGUUCGAUAAAGGUAGCAGAUUAAAAUGUAACAGCGGACAGAGUAGUGUUUGCAAAACAUGGAUAGGUAUUCCAAGCAACCCAGCAAAACUUAAUAGUCUACAGUUGGGGUAACAGAGAGCGAAAACCGUACACAACUUGCUAUGUUAAAUCAAAAACAAAUUGUCGAAGUUCAGUGAGAUGGCAUUGAUUGAGCAGUCAGGACAACCGGACAAGCGUAUGCAAAAAACGAAAAAAUUAAUGGACUGCUCAGGAAGCAUUAAGGCUGUAAAUAAACGAAAGUUCAAUAUUAGCAACAAAUUAGACAGAAAGAAUUGCAAUUCUCCACGGCAUGGGGCAGAAUGCUGUUUUGAAGAAAAAGAACUCGUACGGAUCAAGGAACACUUCCAGAUUAGCAGUCUAUAACUGGGGAAGAAAAAAGAGAGAAAACUAUAUGGAACUUGCUAAAUUAAACUCAGUCACAAAGUACUAGGGUAGCAGUUCUACUCAAUGCUGCUUCCUAAGAAAAGUUAAGGCAACAAUAGACAACAUGAAAUUUCGAGGAGAAAGAAGCUGCAUGGAGUAAAGAUUUUAGUUGUUCAACUCACGUGCUUGAGGACUGUUGCAGACAGUCAAGGACCACUUGAUCAAAAUCCUUAGGCCCGUCAACAUUAAAUUGGUUUACAUGUGGGGAAAAGAAACUAUAAUGUUAUGACAAACGCAUAUAGCAAUAAGGACUUUGAAUAAAAAUUUACUUGAAGCAGUCCCAUACGAGGUUUGACGUGGAUGUCUGAUAUCCAUUUGAUCCACUCCACAGAGGAGUGUUCAUUGAUGAUUCUACCAUCUGAGGCUGAGUUGAAGUGCCGCCGUGCCGCUCCAGUUGAAACAGAGUCGCAGAGUCAGCCAACAGCAAACACAAAAUAUGCGUGCAAAUCAUGUCAGAAACCUCAAUUAUAGUGCAUACUUCAUCUGCUCUAAGAUCAAUACCUGCAAUUUUAAUGCAUUUCUAAGAUAAAAAAAAAUACUUUAAACUGCAUCUCUCAACAAAUCUACUUACGUUUCACUCUAAUUUAUUGGCUAAAAUUAGCCUCUAAUAUUUCAUAUCUCCUAAUUUCAUCUCAGACAAAAUAUGUUAUGAUUUUAACCCUUGAUAUUUCAAACACUUCUCGAAUUGGAUCCCCGUAUCAAUGUCCAUUAAUUUGUCUCAUUUAAUUUUCAUAUUAAAGAAAGGCAAUGUUAGAAGGGCAUAUACUUGACAAAAAACUUAAUAAACAUGGAUAGAUGAUAGUUUCGUUUAAUUAAUUAGUAUCACAUUAUUGAUGAAAUAUUUUUGUUUUGGAAUGAAAAUAACAUACUAGGGACCAAUUUGAGGUUUCCGAAAAAUCUAUCUCAAAAUCUACCUUCUCUUUCAACUCAAAAUCCCAUCUCCUGCUCUCCAAUCUCACUCUAAGUAAGCAACUCCCGAUCAUCUCCGCUUCGUGCUGCUGCUUCUUCUUCCACUGUCGUCGACACCACCACUAACGCCCCCGUAUCAUCGACAAACAGCAACGUAAACAGCUAACAAAGCAGCAAAUCAAGCAGCAGCAGCAUGAGAAGCGCCAUGGACAACUUGACAUUGAACGCGGCGUGAAUGUUUUGAUAGGUUGCUUUCAAUGUUAUAGAAGAGGAGUUGAGGCAAUCACUUGAAGCUGUAUUCAGUAAAAUCUGGUCUCAGACAAUAGCAGCUGCGAGUUUGGGAUAAGUUUACCGAGCUACCUUGAGGGCAGCUGGGGAGGAUGCUGCGAUUAAGGUUGUGUGUGUGUGGUUCAUCUACUAGCACAUUUCACUUGUGUAUUUAUUUCAAACAAUGAUAUAAAGUCGUUUAUUUUCAGGUGCAAAGACCUGAAAUAGAGCCUAUAAUUAUCUAUCGGGAUCUCUUUCUCUUCAGAACUCUUGUCUCAUUUAAAUGGAAUCAGUUUACAGAAAUUGGGAUGCUUCUGAGUUGAUGGUAGAUGGAUUUGGUGAGAAGCUUCUGGAGGAGCUUGAUUGCACCUUGCUUCUUAUCUUUCAAAACACUCUUCUGUUUUGCACAACAGUCUUGUUGCAUGCUCUUAGAGAUAGACAAGAAGGUAUCUUGGUCUAUGUCGUCUGCCGGCCUGUCAGCUGAGUGAUAUCCAUGUCCAUGCCAACCAAAUCGAUAGAAUUUGCCCCAGAAAUACUUGUUUCUGACAGAUUACGUUUUAUAUGUGUACUGAUUUUUUUAACAGUGAAAGAAAUAAUGUACAGAGACAUAUAUGUUUGAGAAAUAAUUUUGUAAUAAAUUUUUUUUUUUUCAAAAUAGAAAGAACAUGGGAUAUGUCUUCUUUAUCUCAGUUAUCUUCAUCUUUUUUAUCUCAAGAUAUAUUCUAUUGAAUUGGCUGGGAAGGGGAUGCUUCACAAAGCAUAUUUAUACAGAUUAGUCUAGUAGAUAGAGUGCAAAAUUGUAAUAUGGUUAAUUUGAUCUGCACAGUGUGCCUUCAUUUUGUUACCUUGACUGAUAAUUUGUGCUCAAUAUUUCAGCGAAUUAAGCAGAUAUUGAUCGAUGCUGUUGUACAUGCUGUGAACGAGGACUGUUCUGAGAUGGCAAAUGACUUCACCGGACUUGGAUUCCUAGCUAGUGGCACUGAUGUUGCUCCUAUCAUUCCAUCUUUGGAAGAUACUUGGCAGAAUUCAUUUGGGAACUAACUUUCUGGUUUUAAUUUCAGAACUGUUACAGGUAAAUUGUAUGCUCCACAAUCCAUGUUCCAUGUUUUUCUCUAGUUCAAUUUCUUGAAUAUUUAAGCACAUUGCUUAAUCUAAAACUUAUUCGUUUGGGUUUCAUUUGCAUGGUUUAAUUUGCAAUGCCAACCUUGCUGUCAGCAAGGUCAGGGUCACUUAGUUGACAGCAUUGUCAUUGUGGGUUUGUGGGGCAGAUGCAGGGGAAACAAUUUAUAUAGUGGGUUUGAUUUUAUUUGUCAAUUCCUAGGUUCACUGGUGUGUUGCAAAUGAUUGUCUCAUUGUAUUCUUGAAUAUUUGGCUAUGUCCAAGUUGCAUCAACUAUAUAGUUUCUCAGAAUACAAUCCCUCGUGAAGGAUCUGCUUCUCUGUGUUAGAAUCCGUUUAACGAUGGUGUUUUCCGGUGGUAACCGCUCGAAAACCUCAUUGUUCUUGCAUAUAGUGGGUUUGAUUUUAUUUGUUAAUUCCUAGGUUCACUGGUGUGUUGCGGAAGAUUUUCUCAUUGUGUUCUUGAAUAUUUGGCCAUGUCCAAGUUGCAUCAACUAUAUAAUUUCUCAGAAUACAAUUCCUCGUCAAGGAUCUGCUUUACUGUGUCAGGUUCCGUUUAACGAUGGUGUUUUCCGGUGGUAACCACUCGAAAAUCUCAUUGUUCUUGCAUAGGAAAAUAUAGCCGAGAUGAGCAGCAACCCUGCCUUGCAAGUAAAAGAAAUGUCUGUAUCUUUAUAAUUUAUGUGUGAGAAGAACUCAAACAUUUCUUCAAUUUUCGAAAGCAGUAAUACAUGGAAAAUAAUUUAUGUUAGUUCUUUCUUCCUUUGAUUUGCUAGGGGAAAAAAAUAAGAACUCAAUGAGGUUUUUGUAUUGAAUUUGGAUUUUAUUUUUUUCAGUAAAUAGAACUUGGAUAUUCAAUAAGGAUAUAUAUCAUAAAAUGUUUAUGGUACCUAUUUUAUUAGAAAGAUUAAAAUUAUUAAGAAUUAAAAUAAUAAAAGAUUAAAAAUAUUUAAAAAUACAAAAUGAAUCCUGUAGUUUUGAUAUUAUGUUCAUGAUUAUUUUUAAAAAUAAUUUUUUAUUUUUAAAAAUUUAUUUUUAAUAUCAACACAUCAAAAUAAUUUAAAAAUAUAUAAAAAUUAAUUUUUUAAAAAAAGAUAAUACUACAAAAAUAAAAUUGUUUUAUCUUAUUAGGUAUAACAUUUUAAAAGAAAUCACAAUUUUUUUAUACCAGUUUUAUUUUUAAGUUUUCAGGUAAGAAGUUUUGUUUAUUUUUAAUAAAUUAUGUAUUUUUUUAAAAACAAUUAUAUAAAAAAUUUAAUAUUUUUUAUUAAAUAAUCCUAACAUAAAUUAUAAUUUAAAAAUUAAAAUAGUUUGAAAAUAAAAUUAAUUUAAAUGUAAAAUUAUUUCCUUCUUAACAGUGUGGGGCCUGCUUGCUUCACCACUGCGAUUUAACACUAGUGACAGUCCAGUGACCCUAAAAACUCUCCCACUUCAAUUCCCUUCAUCCCAAAAUCUUAGGUGACCUCAUUACUUUUCUUCUUUAGAUCGAAAUCAAAGCUCGCUUGGAAUACUGAGUUAAAAUUACUAUCCUUACCAUUAAAACCACUUCAAGGUAAUUUUAAUUAAAUUUCUUAAAAUGCCUCGUAAGGUGAAUUACGGAGUAGAUUGUGAUGAUGGAGAUUAUGAUGAUUACGACGAUGAUUAUGAUGCAGAAGAUGAUGGUUAGUAGAAAUAAUUACUUCUUAUAUACAUAUAAUGCUACAAAUUUGCUUUAUUUGAUGUGGUAAUUACUUAUUAAUUGCGUACCAGUGGAAGCAGCAGAGCCUAAGCACGAAACGGCCAAGUACAAUGAUAAGGUUAGACUAUGGCGUUGCGCAAUUUGCAAUUAUGAUAAUGAUGAGAGCAUGACUGCUUGUGAUAUUUGCGAGGUUAUUCGGAAUCCUGUCCCUGGCAGUAUCAAGAGAGCUGGAGGAGGAGGUAUGGAGAAGUUUCUGUUUUCAAUUUGAACAACUUAGCAACUGUAUGUAUGCUUGAUCGUUUUUCUUCUUUGUAGUUAGGAAAAUAUUUUGUUAUUUUCAUAUUAUGUUUUGCUUCUUCAACAACUUGGUUGUGAAUUAUGUAGUGUUAUUUUUUUAGCUCAUUGUGUUUUGUCUUCGUUUACUUCCUCGAUGAUGUAAGCCACUAACAAAGGAGGCAUCAUUUUGGUGGUGGCGCUGCUUUGGUUUGAUAUGACAAUGCAGACAGCUUGUAUCUUUGUUGUUGUUAUUGAGGUUUCAUUUCAAGUUGGUUCUCCUUUUAUAGAAUAGAUUUCUAUGAUGCAGCGGGUAGUAUGUGCAAAGAGUCUGGAGCAUCCAUGAUGAACAAGUCUCUUUUCUGUAUCAUUGCCACAUUGGACUCCACAGAUGGCUGUAGUAGGUCAACAGUGGAAUGAUGAUUUUGUGACAGAAGAGGGCAAUAACUUCCACAAGUGUGGAAGUUUCCAAGGAAACUCUGAUGAUAUUAGUUCCUGUAUUGAUGUAGGUCUGAGCAUGUUCUAGAACAGGAUGAAUUGAUGAAAAACAGUAGAUAUUAAAGACCCGUUUUCUUUAACUUGAAAAUCCUUUGGAUGAAGCUGGUGUAUAUAUUCUCCAGCUGACGGCUGUUUUUUGGAGUCAUUUUGCAAUCUUGCUUCUCAAAACUGUCGUUAGAUCUGUGGCUUCUAUGUAUGUACUAACAUUCCAUAUAUUACUUAUACAGCUCCUUUUAAGUUUAAUAUUCCAUCUCCAGAUGAUUUGGUUUCUGAUGGAUUACAUCCCUCCCAAAUUGGUUCUAAAGGUAUCCUUUUAUAAUUUCAAAUUUGAGAGGUCACUUUGUGUACAGUGCCAAAAACUUAUUUACUUGAUUUUUAUGACAGUUAACCUUAGGAGGAUUGAGAAAAGUAUCAGCUUGUUUGUAUAGCGGCCAUUGAUUUGUACAAUGGUAUAAGCGUCUCCAAAUUCUCCCUUCCAGGAAUCUAGUUUGGAGUACAGCAGUUGAGUACUGGUAUCCAUUCGAAGUAUCCUACCCCGUAAGGCUGUGCUCCACAGGAAAUAACUUACACUAUUAUAGCUCAACUGUCUAUUUUAAUCCGCUCCUAUCAGGAUGAUAUAGUCUGCCAUAUAAACUUAAUCAAGUAGAGGUUGAGUCUGAAUAAAAAAAUAUUGUGCCGCAAGUUGCAAAAUUAAGGCUUUGAGUUUGUUAUAUAAUGGAACAAUGUCCUGCUACAACAUGAAAUGAUACAAUAUGCUACCUGCCUUUUAAUUGCUCACAGUGUACAACUUAGUGACAUUGUAUUCACUUGUGUUGGUUUGCAUCCACAAACAAGCUAUAUUUUUCUUACAUGCAUGUCUGUGUUAUAUAUUUAUACAAAUCAUAUUAUCCAUUGUUAGCUGAAACAACAACGUAGUUAAAAUAGCUUAAUUUCAAGAGUUCUCUCAGUUCGUUUUUGAAUAUAAUUUUGCUUCAUCUUGUUUCUGUACUGCCUUUUCUUGCAGCCGAACUUUUCAACUCCAGAUAUCCGAACGUAACUGCUGGCGUUACUGAGAUUGUUAAAAGUUCAGAUAAAUCAUCUGCAUUGAUGCCAAAAGGCAAACAAGGACAACAAAUUUCUGAUGGUUCUUCUGCUUCUAUUUCAAAAGGCAGGCCUGGAGUGGAUGAGGGCAAUCAAAAGAAGAAUGGUAUAGUUGGCACUCAAUCAAGUGAUGAAACUUCAGAUAGCACUUCAUCAACGCCAAAAGGCAAAGAUAAACGGGUUGAUUAUAGCAGUUCUUCAACAAACAGGGGCGAGUCUCUUGGUCUUACAGGUAAUUUGAAUGAAAUGUCCCUGUCUGAUAAAUCUGGAAAGUCGUACAAGGCUAGUGCUAAGAGGCACAAGUCAUCUGCACAGUAUCAACCAGAUAAAUGGAUGCUCCCCGGCAAAUCAGAAAAUGCAUUGACACAACUGAAUCUUGCAAUUGUAAGUGGGACCUUGGAUUUUAGUCAUAUACUCUAGGAAUUGGAUGCUAAUAUCUUCAAUAAGGAUAUGUUAAUAAUUGUUUUAUUGAUAAACUUCAUCUAUAAAUGAUUAUAGGUUGGCCAUGUUGAUUCUGGGAAAUCAACACUCUCAGGUAGAUUACUACAUCUUUUGGGACGAAUAACCCAAAAGGAAAUGCUCAAAUAUGAAAAGGAGGCCAAGUUACAGGUGAUGUCAAUAAGGUUUUGCUUGUUUGCAUGCAUUUGCUGUUUAAGAAAACAACAACAACAACAACAAUACUUGAUUUUGGUUUUUUUAUAAUUCAAACAGGGCAAGGGGUCAUUUGCUUAUGCUUGGGCAUUGGAUGAGAGUCCUGAGGAGAGGGAAAGGGGAAUAACUAUGACAGUCGCUGUUGCUUAUUUUGAUUCCAAAAAAUAUCACGUUGUUGUGAUUGAUUCCCCAGGCCAUAAAGACUUUGUCCCAAACAUGAUAUCUGGGUCAACACAAGCUGAUGCUGCCAUCCUUGUAAUAGAUGCCUCCGUUGGGGGUUUUGAAGCUGGGAUGGACAACAAGGGGCAAACUAGGGAACAUGCAAUUCUUAUUAGAAGUUUUGGUGUUGACCAGAUUAUAGUCGCAGUCAACAAAAUGGACUCAGUGGAGUACUCCAAGGAUCGAUUUGAUUUGAUUAGAACACAACUUGGAACAUUCCUUCGUUCUUGUGGAUUCAAGGAUUCCUUGGUGUCAUGGAUUCCAUUGAGCGCAGUGGAAAAUCAAAAUUUAGUUGCAGCUCCUUCUGAUAUUCGUUUGUCAUCAUGGUGAGUUCACUUUAUUUACAAGAAAUAUUUUCCAUUUCAGGAGCUAUAAAAGAGGUCUCAGUGGAAUCUUAUAAUUAUCUCUAGGGAGUUGAAAAUCAAGCAAAGUAACUGAAUUGCAGGUACCGUGGACCUUAUCUGUUGGAUGCAAUUGAUUCUCUUCAGCCACCAACAAGAGAUUUCUCAAAACCUCUUCUCAUGCCCAUAUGUGAUGUAGUGAUAUCAUCUUCACAAGGGCAGGUGUCAGCCUGUGGUAAAUUGGAGGCUGGUGCUCUUCGAAGUGGAUUGAAGGUACUGCAUUAAGGUUGCCACUUGCUAUUGUAAAACUAACUUUAGACUUUCUGGAAAACAAGUGAUAUGGCUCAUCAUUGAGAAAUCCAUUGGAUGGAUGAUUUGCAUUUUCUCAAAUGCAACCCAUCUUAUCAGUGCUUCUUAGCAUGAGCUGGUGAAUUUUCCUUGCAUGGAUCUUAGGCUUCAUUAAUGCACUAAUAAAUAUUCAUUUAUAGAAGCAAAAUGUCAUGGUGGUCUUCACUUGAAUGUUUCUGACCUCUCUCCAUUUCCCUGGAAGGACUUGAUUAAGGUUGAAGACAUUUGUAGAUAUGCUAGAAAUUUUCUCCUUGAGAGUUGAGAGUGGUCAUGCUUCUACUAAGAUAGAAUUCUUCGUUAGUGUGUGUACACGUGUGUUUGUAUAUGUUCAGCUUUGCAUAAUAAGGGAUGAAUUUCUUGAGACAUUCAUGUGCGAAUCAUAGGCUGCCUUCAGGUAAUUAAUGACCCAGAAUUUGACCAACUUUGCACAUUGACUGUUCUUACCCAUGUGUUUUUGAGUGCCGCUGUAACUUGCCAGUGAUUCUUUGUCUCUUCAACUGCUCCUGGACAAGAGUAGUGCACUGGUGUGAUAAUAGAGUUUUUGGGUUAUUGAAAGUAAAUUAUAAAGUGCAUAUAUUGAUUGUGCUUUAAAUUUAUACCGUUGGUUGAAUUUGUGCUGCUGAUAAUACCUAUCCGGUUGAGGUAAGGAAAUGUAUAUUUUGUUGCAGCCAAUAUCACUCUGUGCUCUUACUAUAACCAUGUAUGUAAUUCGUGGAAUGUAGGUUUUAGUUAUGCCAUCAGGAGAUGUGGGGACAGUUCGCUCCCUAGAAAGAGACUCUAAGCCUUGUGAUGUCGCCAGAGCAGGAGAUAACGUGACUGUCAGUCUCCUAGGCAUUGAUGGAAGUAAUGUGAUGACUGGAGGUGUUCUAUGUCAUCCAGACUUUCCUGUUGCAGUAGCGCGACAUUUUGAGCUGAAGGUGCUCGUGUUAGAUUUGGAAAUUCCACUUGUGAUUGGUUCUCAAGUAAGCUCCCCUCUACAAAUUUCAUUUUGUUCCAUAUUGUUCUCUAUUAGUUUGCAGUUGGAUUCUGAUCAUUCGAGUCGAAUUUGCAGUUGGAAUUCCACGGACACCACGCAAAGGAGGCUGCAAGAGUUGUUAAAAUAAUAUCAGUGCUUGAUCCAAAGACGGGCAAGGUGACAAAGAAGGCACCUCGCCGUCUUAUCUCAAAGCAGAGUGCAGUGAUUGAGGUGAAUUAAAACGAAUGAUCAUUUCUUCCAUCGACAUUUACACUGAAACAGCAGUGAACUCGAUCUCACAUUUCCUUGCCCUCUCUCUCACUUCAGGUGUUUUUGGACGGACCGGUUUGCAUGGAAGAGUUCACAAAUUGCAGAGCUCUUGGAAGAGUGUUUCUGAGAACAUCAGGGAAAACCAUUGCCCUCGGAAUCAUAACCCGGAUAAUAGAGGAUCAGGAAUAGUUAACAUGAGAGGUAGAUGCCUCAGCAUUUGAGAUGUAAACGGGUCCCAUCGCUACAAUUUGCCAAAUUUAUGUUGUUAACAACAGAGAGGAGGGGCAUAUCCUUUCUGAGUUUUGAUGGACCAUUUUGCAUGGGUUGCAUCAAUUUACACAUCAGUAAAAUCGGCAGCCCCCUAUGUUGUCAUGUAUUUUUUUUUAAUUCUUUACUAUGCGUCUUUCAUCCAUAGCUGUGACGUAGCCGAUCCGAGUUGAAGGGGAGAAAAAAAAAGCUGUUCCAGUUAAAAUUUAGAUUGAUCUGUUUAUUAGUGGUGAGCAAAACCGGUUCGGUUCGGUUUUUAUCAAAAAAAGUAACCAAACCGAAAUUAUAUAUAUUUUUUUUAAAAAAACCGAAACCGAACCGAAACCGGUUCGAACCGGCCGGUUUUGGUUUGGUUCGGUUUGGUUUUUUAAGGGGAAAAACCGGUUUGGUUCGGUUUUUUCCGGUUUGGCUCGGUUUUUGGGUUUUGGCUCAUUUUUUUCCGGUUUUGGCUCUGUUUUUCUGGUUUUGGCUCGGUUUUUUUCCGGUUAUUUUUCCGGUUCGAUUCGGUUCGGUUUUAUAAGCCUUAAACCGAUAUCGAACCGAACCGGUCGGUUUUUCAAAAUUUUAAUCGGUUUUUUUUUUCGGUUCGGUUUUUUCGGUUAUUUUUUUCUCGGUUUUCUUGGUUUCUUGGUUUAUUUGCUCACCCCUACUGUUUAUAUGUUCAUACUCGGAACUUUUAGUUGAUUUUUUUUUAUUAAAAUAAUAUUAUUUUAAUUUUUUUAUAUAAAAAAAAUAGAUUCAUCUUCCAUGCUUAUAAUUUAAGAUGUUGUCUUGGUUUUCUAGCGGGUUUUAUAAUUAUGCUAUCAUUAAUAUAGAUUAAAAUUAAUCACCUUCUCUGUUUAUUUAUUUAUUUAAAUUGUUAUUAAAUCUGGUCAAAGUUAUAAUUAUAAAUUGUAUGAGUUAAUAUAAGUUGACUGAGAUUAAUCUAAAAACUUUUAAUAAUUAAUUGUAAUCUUUUUAUUUUCUUCAAACAAAAACAAACAAGUUAUCAUUUAUUUUGUGAUUUUGCAAACAGAAUUAAAAGAAAAGAAAAAUGAUGUCAAAACGAUGUUUAAGUAGAUAAACAAUUCACUCUCAUUUCUUUCCCACAAUUACUUCUUUCUCAUUGCAAAGUAUUAAAUAAUAACUUGUCAUUAAGGAAAUCUCAUGACAAUUAAGAAUGUGUUUACGAAUGAUUUUGCUUCUAAGAUGAAAGAAUAAAAAAGAUGAUGCAUUACUUAUGCAAGAGUAAGGUCACUGCUUGGAAAAGGGUAAUUACGUAAAUGGAUUUUCUUGACCUUCUUAGCAAUUUCUUUUUAGUUUAAAAACAGAAAGACUGGAAAUAAAAAAUAAAAAAGGCAUGUACAUGAAUUGAAAAAAAAAUUAAAAAAAAGGGCUUUCCCCUUCAUUCACACGGAGAGGCAGACACAAGUGAAGAAAGAAGAGGAGAGAGGACCUAAGUACUUCGAAAACUGACUUCUCUAAUCUCUUUGGUCUUUCUCGCAUCUAGGUUUUUCAUUUCAGUCCCAAAGUUUCUGUCUUUAAGGUCUGUAUACUUCAAAUUUUCUUUUUCUUUUUGAUCACUUAUUUUCCUGUCUUUUUCUUUUUUUGGGUUUUAGUGGUUUUAAGUUUUGGUUGAGCAGCUGGGUUUUUUAUAUAUUUUAAAGGGGGGGGGGUGCAUGGUUCUGGAUUUUGUGGGGUUUUUUUUCCCUUUAUUAUUGAUGAUUUUGAUGAAUAUUAGUUGAAUGUUUUUUUGUUAUUAUUUUUCUGUUGACUCUUGAUUUUGAAUUGAUUAAUUUGCUUCUCUAUUUGUUAAUAUUCAUUUUUUGUUGAGCAAAAUUAGGGUGAAUGAUCUGAUUGAUUUUGGGGGUUUUGAUUGCUAGUUGAAUAGUAAGGAUUGUUUGAUUGAUUGAUCAGCUUUGAUGGUUAUUUAAGUUAGAUUCUAGUACAUGCUCUUGCUACUAAGUAUUAAUUGUUUGAUUCAAUGGAAUUUUCCUGAGAGUUUUGAGACAUUUACAGCGAAUGAAGAUUCCGAUCGUUUCUCAUGUGUGAUAGAUAGAUCAAUUUGUUGUAAUGAUAACAAUAGAGGUGUAUUCACCCGUGUGGUUUCUUGAAUAUUAGUUUCUUGUCUAAAGGGUAUACUGCAGGAUGGAAUUAAGUUGACUUGGUUCAAUUGGUACUUAUAAAAUAUUUAGAAAAUAUAAGGCUGAAGUGGGAAUCUGUUGCUGGAAAUGGAAGGGUAAGUGAUGGAGGUGUCAUUUGCCUAAUUUGCAUACAAUAAUAUUGUCAUCAAAGGAUCAAAGCAACUUGUGACUUUCAGGUUUUCCUUGAUAUGUCUCUGCUUAACUCCAUCGACUGUUUAUUCUUCAAUGUGCAGCUUUCUGCAUUUUCAUGCUGUACUAGAUUAGGGUUUUUCCAUCUGUUUUUUUUUCUGUUGGAGCUUAGCUAGCUCUAUACUUGGUAGUUGCUAUAUUCGCCUUUUUUCAGUUUGUUUGCUGUCUAUGUUUCUGAGUUUUCUUAAUGUCCUUGUAGAUUUUCGUUUGGAGGUGUUGAUCAUGGCCUUUAAGCCUUAUUUUCAAAGAGGUCACCGUGCCAAUUGUAUCAACAUCGAAGAUAUUCAGUUGAAUACAAAUUGGGAAGAUGUGAUUUGUCCAAUAUGCUUGGAUUUCCCCCACAAUUGUGUUCUCCUCCAAUGCUCAUCUUAUCAUAAAGGGUGCCGACCAUUUGUGUGUGAUACUGACCACUUGCAUUCAAAUUGUCUGGAUCGUUUUAAAAAUGCCAGUGGUAUGCCAUCCCUUUCAACAUCUGAUUCAACUCCUUUGACAAAUACUCAGCCAACAGUAGCGGAUAACAAUUGCAAACUAGCUUGUCCGUUGUGUAGAGGUGAAGUUACGGGGUGGGUUGUUGUUGAUAGGGCUCGUUUAGAUUUGGAUGAGAAAAAGCGAUGUUGUGCAGAAGAACAAUGUACAUUCACAGGAACAUAUUUUGAACUACAUGAACAUGCUCAAGUAGAACACCCACAUGCUCGCCCAUCAAAAAUUGACCCUGCUCGGCAGCUUGAUUGGGAAAAUUUUCAGCAGUCAUCUGAGAUAAUAGAUGUUUUGAGCACCAUACAUUCAGAAGUGCCACGUGGAGUUGUUCUAGGAGACUAUGUGAUUGAGUAUGGGGAUGAUGAUACUGGAGAUGAGUUUGAGGACUUCCCUAGGGUCAAGGGCAACUGGUGGACUUCUUGUAUCUUGUAUAAGGUUUUUGAUAACUUCAGAAACUCGAGAAAUAGAAGAAGGGCAAGAGUAGUUGAUACAAGGAGAGGAAGUCGCCGCUCAAGUUAUGAUACUUCGAAUUCUGAUGAGGGCUCUGUGGCAUCUGUCGACUUUGCAGAAUACAGAUUAGAUGAGACUGAUGAUGAGUUUGCAAGUUCAAGCGUCCCCGCUAGGGGUAGUUCUGGUCAUCGCAGGUCAAUAAAGCUACCUUUUCUCUUACAUUUUGGCACCUUUUUUAUGUUUGAUUGAACUUGGAGUAAAAGUUUUUUCUUUAUUAUUAUCUGCACUGUUUUCUUGGUGGGCAUUGGGCACCAAAAAUUUUCGCAUAAUUGUUACCAUACAGGGACUGGCAUACAAAUGCACAAGCAACAGAUAAGUGGAAAUUCUGGUUACCUUUGAUUUUUCAGGAUGUGCAUUUACUGAUCUGCAUGCACAUCUGACGGUCACCGAGUACAAAUAAUUUGAGAGCAGAAUAAAUGCACUCUUCAACCAUUUUUGAUACAUUAAUCCACCUUUUUUUAAUAUGAUAGAACUGGUUUUUGCUGUCAUGGGUAGUACUCUUCCUGUGUGCACCAGAAGAUUUUGAACAAGGUUAUGAUAGGUUUGAGGUGUAUCUGUGUUAGAUGCCAUGCAUGUAAAACUAGCUUAUAUAAAUUGGGCUGUUAGAAAUUGCAGGUUCUGUUAACUUUACAUCCUUCCCAUAAUUUAUGCUUGCUGUUCCUAUAUCUCACAGAUUUCGAAGACACCACUCCCGCUUCUUUGACAGUUAGGUAUGGACUUGCUCAUGGAUCAAGCUUUGACAAUGAAGUAGGUUUAUUUUGCUGUAGAAAGGUCCAGCUUUUCCAAUUUAAUAGUGCACAAUUAUAUUUAUAGUGUUAUAUCCCCGGUCUCAUCUCAUUGGUAUAUUUAGUAAUAUGCUUACUAGUUCCCUUGUAUUGUGGGUAGCAGUGGCCUUAGUGCAAGUGAAGCAAAGGAUCGAAAGCAAAAUGCUAGUGAUUCUGCAGAUAAUUUUGGUUUCAUCCGAAGCUCAUCUUGUUGUAUAUGUAAUUAGAUUUGCUCGAUGGACAUGAAUUUUUGUAUUUGCCAUUUCCAGGUAUGGUGACUCCAUUUUUUCUUUUUAAUUUGAGAUUGAUUAUUAAUUUGCUUUAAUAGGACUUUGGGUGUCUUAACUGUAUAUUAUUUUCUGAUAUUGCUACCUUACAAACGCUUUGAUCGUCUCAACUUCUGACCAACAGAAAUACGAAGCAUAUUUUCUGGCAGUUUAUCUUGGCUGUAUUUAUUAGAGAUCCAUUAGUUAUCUGUGCAUCUCAAAUGCAUUUAUGUUAUUAGUUAUAUGCAUGGAAUUGUGUGCUGGUUACAUGGAUAUUUUUAUUUUGUUGGUUUGAUGGUGAGUUUAUGUGUCAACUAAACUAAAAGCUCGUUUGACAUUGCUGUUUGUAUCAAAAAGCAUCAUUUUUUUUUAUAUGUUUUUCAUACAAAAAGCAGUUUGAAACGCCACUGAAACGGGCACACUACAGAUCAUCUACAAGCAAUCUUAACAGUGCUCUCUUCACAUCAGCUUUAGGGUACUCUUGGUACUGGAAUUAUCUCGGUUUCUGGCUUGGCUCAAUGUUCGAACUUAGAAAGUUAAAGGAUCAGACCUUCUUGACCACUGUCUGUCCUUUGGUUAAAUAAAUGUGUUCAUAUAUCAGAAUUUAACUCGAUUCAGAUGGAUUUGGAUAUUUAACCUUUUUCAAUGAGUAAUUGACGAUUCAACUAAUAGAUUAUUGUUAAACCUGAUCUAGUUAUAUACACCUGAAAUAUAUGUAUUAUUUUUAUAUUUUAUGUUAAAUAAUAAGUAAAUAAUGGAUAUCUAAAAUCCAAUACAUAUGACAAGAUAUCUAAAUUCCUUACCUAAUAUAAAUAUAAUAAAAUCUCAAUCCAUAAAUGAUCGUUGCCAUCCUUGCUUGGCAAGCUCUAAAACGAUGCUCAAUUCCUCCAGCUUUCAUGUCAAAUGCAGCUUAUAUUGUGAACUGGAGAACUAUCCACGUAGCUAACACUUAAACCAGUGGGUAGCAAUUCCCAACAUUUGCUACAACAACAAGAAGAUGUGGACAUGCCAUGAACUAAUACAGGACGUUCUUGGGCAAGUUCCAAAUAACGUUAUUCUUCAUGCUAAUCUUGGUGCGCAUGGUCUCAGCCGAUCGAUUCACUUGCUUCAUGACUUUCAUCCUCACCAUUUGCUCUCUUGACUGCACAGUUGCCAGCCCCAUGCUCCGGUACCUGAAAAUCGGAUCGAAAGUCAGACAAAAUACCACCGCUUCUCAAUUUAUUUGAUUCCUAGAAUUACUUGGGUAAAAGGGGAAGAGAGCAAUUUCAUUUCAUUCCAAACUGUCUCCUCUUAUUAUGUCAAUCAUAUUUUCUGAAAAACAUGGAUUGAGAGAAUACCUAGAGGCAAGUGCAGCAGUUAUGGCCAUAUCAUUUGCCGGUGAUGGACGUGGCUUCUGGCGGUAGUACCGCAAAUAUUCUCGAGAACCAAGAGUUUUGGAUGAUACUUUAUUAGCAGAUCUUGCGGUUAUAAUCAGCUCUGAAUCACCGCUACCAAGUGCUGCGAUGUUGGUAGUGUCGCCCAAAGCAACAAGUUGUUUACCAUCCUCAUCCACGUAGCUGCAACCAGGGAAACAAAAUCAAAGGGGCGAAUUGAACGGAUAAACAAUAUGGAACAUAAUUAAAGAUGGCGAAUUAAAAGAAAUAGCUAGAAGUCAAGUAUUGAAGGAGAUAACUCUCCUGUGAUUGAAGCAUCAUAAACGAAGAGAUUUCAUAAGAAAUUAGCUGGUAUUCCAUAAUGAGCAUUUUACAAACCUGCUACUAUAGUCAUAGAAGUCUUCUAAUUCAGCUUCCUCAUCCUCAUCGCCGUCACCGUAAUGUACUUUGCAGUGACUUUUAGCUUCCAUAUGCUUCCUAACAGCUUCCAAGCUGUUGAAAGAUUGACGCUUGUCAUUGCAGUACAUACACAUGAAAUCCCUCUUCACCUGGAGAGGAAAAAAGAACAUAAAAGUAAGUAAAUACAGACUUCAAGUAUACAAUAAUAUAAAAAUACAUUACACAAAUAGAGAACAUGGUACGUAAUCCAGUACCUUGAGGCCAAGAUAAGUAAGAAGACCCUUUGGAUCCUUCAAAUACUCGACAUCAGGAAUAAAGAACCCAUGCUGCUUAUGCAUGUGAGCCAUGCAGCUUUCUAUGUUAUCAUGCUCUCGAUCGCACAUGAAGCAACAGGAUGGAUCCAGCAACUCAUCAUCUUCUUCAUCCUCGACUAUAUCAACAAGAGAGGCCAUCUCAUUUACAUUCAAACCAGUCAAAGACUUAGUGGCCUCAGCAACCAGCUCUUCAUCUGAACCAACUUCUUCCCACUCAUCCUCACUCUCUUCACUUUCUCCGGCAUCUGCCUCCCAUUGCAGAGCACGCUUAUUCACCUCACGACGAGGAAGCUGUUUAAUCACAGUAUUCUCCUCCUCUUGGUUUGUUCCUUGAGAAGCUCGCAGUAUAUGGCUCCUUGAUUUAAGGUGCUGAUCAUGAGCUUUGGAACUUUGAUAUCCCUUGUUGCAUAGAACACAACUAUAAAGCAUAGGGAUUUCAUUCUUCUCUUUCUCUUUAGCAAUUGCAGACUGUCUAGCCACAAACAAUGCUUCAGUCACUCCCGGAACACCAGCAACCUGAAUUUUAACAACAGACCCAGAAACAUUAAAAAGUUAAGAACUUGUCGUGAAUUAUUGAGGCUAAACAACACAAUUUUGGCUCAUAUUGAUAUGCUGAUCACUUGCAGAACACCAACAACCUAAAUUUCAACAAAAUUCCAAAAAAUAGUAAAACGUUAAGACCCUGUAAUGAAUUUUUAAAACCAAACCAUAUCAUUAAUCCUCUUACUGAUAUAAUCAAAGAACAAUAGCUAAAAUCCGUAAUUUGAUAUCCAACUGCGCAAUAAAUGUUGAUUCUUUUGCCAAAGCAAUUUAUAGCGGCUUUCAUAUGUAUUGUUAUUCCUAAAACAAAGCCCACUUUCUACACUUCCAAAUUAGUUCUUAAUAUCAAAACUUGGCUAGUUUAAUCUCAAUUAACCCACAAAAUCAUGCCACUAUAGAGCUUAAAGUCAUCAUCAUUGUCAAUGGUAAUAAUGAACACAAAACCAAAUCAUUCACUCAAUUACAACUAACUGAAAAAACACAACACAGCAAUUGUCAUACAGAAAACCUCAAAUUCUCCAACUUUAAAAACAUUGUCUCCUAAAAAAAAAAACAGUGAUGCAAUACUCUCCAACUAGCCUCUUAACCAAGCAAAGAAAACAACAAAAAGAACACACCUUGCGUUUAAGAUUGUAACGGUGCCAUUCAGACUUGUAAUGGAGUUUUUGUUCAGCGUCAUCAUUGAAUUCUUUAUUACAAGCGUUACAAGUUAGUCCUGGCAUUUUCCUUCCUGUUUUCUACAAUAUAUCUGGUUCGAUUCUUUGUUUCGCUCUCGUUUUUUAUAAUAGAAAGUUUGAGUCAGCGAGGCGGUGGGGUUCUUGCAAGACACGAGUCGUUAAUUGCGUAAGCGCCUGCGUCUUUGGAAGGUUAUUGGAAUUUCAUAUGGGUCGGCGACCCAACCCGUUUAGUUGCAUGGUUUAUUGACCAUGUGCUUCCGACAUAUUUUUUUAUUAUUUAUUAUACUCUAUACUAUCGCAAGGUGAAUGUCUUGAUUUUACCUUUGGAGGCCAGACUUGGGUUUAGGGGUGGAAGGUUUUUUUAAUGGGAAUUAUUAAUAAUUGCAUUUAAGAAGAGUGUAAAUUGGUAUUCUUACAUUUUUGUCCACAACAUAAUUACUAAAUGACCAUUAGAAGAAGAAAAAAUAUUCUUCAAAAAAUAGAAAAUCUUAAAACUAAAAAGGAAUAGUUCAUGUAUACUAUGAAAAAAAAUUAUAAGUUCUCAUUAUAUAAACUAUGCAAAACCUUGUUCUUUUAAAUGAUAGACGCAUAGUUCAUUAAUAUUUACACAUAAAUAUACCUAUGGUGUUUUUAAAUUUUAAAAAUUAAUUCAAUAAUAAAAAAGUUAUUUUAUUUUUUUAAUUUUUCAAGUUCAAACUCGUCCAAAUCAAUGAUAAUAUUCCUUAUAUAAAAUCACAAAAAAAACAUUUUUUAAUUUUAUUUACUUGGCACAAUUAUUUAUUAAACUUAUAAAAUCACUACUUAAUAUAAAAGAAUACAAAAAAAGAAAAAAUAAAAAUUCAUUUUCUAAUCAAUCAUAUAAUUUUUAUUAUAUUUAUGUUUUUUAAAAAUACCAUUUAGAUUUCGUAAAAAAAAAAAAAAACCCUUAACCAAUCCACUUCUUACACUUGUAAUUCACCCCACCAACAACAUUCCCUCCCCCCUUCUCUCCCUUCCUCUCCUUUCUCUCUUUUACGAGAGGUCCAUCCCAAGUAGCAUCUCCCUCCCUCUCUCCCUGUCUCAGUUUUUUUUUUUUCAUUUCAAAUACCGAGUCACGAUGUCCGCCGUUUCCCGGCCCCGAACCGACUCACCGAGUUCAAAUCGGGCGGAAAAAUUGUUCGACCCAGGCGAGCCACCACUCCUCGUCCCACUCCAUACGACCGCCCAACCCCUCGCCUUUCCCCUAAUUCCACCCCUCAAAACCCUAAUUGGCUUUCUCGUCUCAUUUUUUCUCCUUCUCGCUUGCUCGCCAACGGUGCCGGUAAAGUUUUCUCCUCCGUCUUCGGCUCCGAAUCCUCCGAUUCCUCCUCCGGCGACGAAGACGACGACGAAGACAGCGAUGCCGUUUCCACUUCUGGUAUUGCAAAUUUGAUUCGAUUUUCAAUGAAUUAGGUUAAAAUUACUUUUUUAAAAUCAUGAAAAUACUGGCUCGUGCUCUUUUUUUAGAGGGUGAAAUGGAAGAUACCAUUGAAGAUGGCGAUGAAGGCAGUGCUUCUUCUCUAAGCGGUGAAAAGGUGGUUUUGAACCGCCGCCUUUUAUCUUGAAUGUGGGAAUUUGGAUACGUUUUAGAUUUUUAUUAUUUGAUUUACGAGUGCUUUUUUAUUUUAAUAUAAGUGCAUUUUUUGGGGGGCAAUUUGAGUGCUUAAUAAUGGUCCCGUUAGGUUUUUAUGGCGUGAUUGAUUAAGAUAUGUUGAUUGCUUGUGAUUGCCGUUUGAUUUUUUUUAUUCUUUUUUGGUGGGGAAAUUAGAAGAAUCGAACAACUGAAAUUGUUCAUUACUCAAAAAAAGAUCUCCCGGCUGUAGAGUGGAGAACUGGAACAAUGCGUUUAAUUGCACAGCUUCUAACGCAGGAAACGUUCACGAGGUAAUUGGGAAUUACUUGCUUUCUUUCUUUAGAAAUUUAUUUUGAAUGCAUAUUUACGUUGUUUUGUGAGUUCUCGUUAUCAGGAGGCGAAGCUAGGAUUUGAGGUAUCGGGAUGCCAGUAUAAAACACAGCAGGGUACAUUGGUAAAUAAAAUAAACAAAUGAUAGUUAUAGAACACUAAUGUUUUUUUAUCCAGGGGGAGGGGCAAUGUAUAUUUUCUGGGAAAGAAAACUUAAAUUCAAGGGUAAAUUUUAAAAAAAAAAAUUAUGACUAAAGUGAAUUUUGUCAAACUCUAGGGAGUCCCGUGGGCCCUCAGCUAUGCUGUAGUUCAGCCUUGGUUGCUUGUCAUUCAAUGCAUUGGAAACUUCGUAAUUGUGUACUUUUAUAUAAUCAUUACUACUUUUGUUGUGUUUGUGUUAAUUCCCUUUGGUUCUUAAACUAUACUGUUAAAACACAGCAGGGUACAUUAGUAAAUAAAAUAAACAAAUGAUAGUUAUAGAACACUAAUGUUUUUUUAUCCAGGGGGAGGGGCAAUGUAUAUUUUCUGGGAACGAAAACUUAAAUUCAAGGGUAGAUUUAAGAAAAAUAAAAUUUUAUGACUAAAGUGAAUUUUGUCAAACUCUAGGGAGUCCCGUGGGCCCUCAGCUAUGCUGUAGUUCUGCCUUGGUUGCUUGUCAUUCAAUGCAUUGGAAACUUCGUAAUUGUGUACUUUUAUAUAAUCAUUACUACUUUUGUUGUGUUUGUGUUAUUUCCCUUUGGUUCUUAAACUAUACUGUUAACUUCAAGCUUUUAACAUAACUAGUGAGCUACAUGGUUCGAGUUCUAAAUUCAAAUCUAAAAAUAUAUUGGUGAUAACCUUGAUGGCUUGACUUCAAAUUCUGAAUUAUUUGCUAUUCACUAUGACCAGGGAAGAAUGCGACAGACUAACACAUAUAAUUAAAUCAAGAGUUGUAGAUUCUCCCAUCAUUAGAGGCACAGAAGAUGGGAGACUGGGUGAGGUUCUGGACAAGACAGCUGGCAAUGGUAUUGUUAUUUUGGAUUUUCCAAUUUCAAAGAACUUAGAAAUUCACAUGCCAAGAGGUGUAUCUCGCUGAUUGUUUAGUGAUGAUCCAGAUGUUGACACACCUGAUCUCCGCAAUACGGCUGUUAAAGAGGCUAAAAAAUGGUUUGAGGGGAAGAAAUUGGGGGCAAAUUCAAAGCCAGUGGAGUGUGGAAUCUGCACUCUCAACACUGCUCCACAUGUUAGUAAUCCUGGUAUAAGGGAUUUGUGAAAAAUACAAUAUAUUUUUUGGCUUUAGAUUAUAAUGAUGUAGCUUGUAUAUAAUCCUAUCUCACUAUGGGUCAGGAUGUUGUUGGAUUGUUACAUAUCAGGGCAGGUCCUUUGUCUUUGUAAAAUUCAUUUUCUGUGAAAUGUGUCCAUUAUUGCUAGAUGAAAUGUAUAGGCUCCCAGAAUACUUUGAUUUGCUAUUAUCCAUUAACCAAUUAUUGUCAUAGUCAUCGAACUUCCUAUUAUGAACCAGGUGCAUUGAUUUUUUUUAAUCUUCUUGUUUGUAGAUUCUGAUUUCACCAGUCCAAGGAACUGAAAAAAACUGUGCAAAUACCUUGAUAUGCUUGUUUUAUUCUGCAACUGCUGUGAACUAAUUGGUGCACACCACCUUAUGACUAUCUAUUUUUAUUGAACAGGUUACUGAAGAAGAAGCAGGUUCACCAGUGGAUUUGGCCAAAUCUUACAUGCAAGAUCGCCCACUAUGGGCUUCUCCUUCCACAAACCAUAUCCAGUUGCAAUCCCCAUCAUCAAUGGGAAAAGAGCUUUUUAAGGAAGCAACAGCAUUUUCAGUUGGUAGCAAGUCACUGUCACCAUCAAAGGUGCUGUUUGGAAGUCUCUUUCUCUCUUCUCCAUUUACUUGGUAUAGUUAUAAGCCUUUUAUUGCUUUUGUUGUGGUGUGAGGGUCUUGGAGUUUGACAGUAAGAUCUGAUCUUUAUGAACUUUCAAAGCAUAUUUUCUUACCAGUUAGACUUAGAAAUGCAAUUUAGUGAUUCGGUCAUGGUUUUAUUAGACAAUCAUAUUCUUUCCUGGUGAUAAAAUAUACGCCCACUAGUAAUUAAGGUAGGGAUCAGGAAAGAAACGAGACUUUCUGGAGAAUCAAGUAAUUUUUACGGCUACAAGGUAAACCUGACGUUGACAAAUGCUAGUUCUGUUUCAAUUCAAACAGAUUGAAUUUUUUUUUUUUUUAAUUUAUUGGAAAGAAAUUGAGCAAGGAACUCUUAAGGAUUAUUAUUAUAUUUUAAUUUGUGGAUGUAGAAAGGACAAAACUAGGGACAAAACUGAAGGCCGUUACUCAGUUAUGACCCUAUUGAGGCUAUGAUGGGGCACUGGAGGGAAGGAUAUAAAGAUCCUACCCUCAUGCAUUCUAACUCCUUUACCUUCAGAACCAUGUUAUGGCCUCUGAGGGCAAUGAGGAAGAAAUAGGAAAAAAGUGUUGUUUUGUGCAAUGGUUGCUUAUUCUCAAGGUUAUUGCUCUGUGCAGCUUAAUUUAUUGUGAUAUGAUGUAACUUGAAAGCAGUUGAACUGGGAUUCCCCUGUCACUGGUUCGUGGAAUAUUCAGGAAGAACUACGUAAAGUGAGAUCCAGGGCAACUGAAGAGAUGCUAAGGACUCGACCGUCUUCCAAAAUUGAUUGGUCUGCAUUAGCUUCAGCUUAUAAAGGAGGUCCUAGUUUAUUGUGUACUGGAGAAGUUGGUGGUGCUAAAGAUAAAUUUUCCAACUUUACACAAUUAGUAGAUGUACCUUUGACGUGGGGCAGUGCAGCAACUAAUUCUGGCUUGACAGGUGUGUUUUAAACUUGUCGGAGGGAAACUAUUUUAACUGUAGCUGUGAUCAAUAGUGCUAUAACAUGUGGAUUUUUUGUGAAAUAAAACUUUCUUGGCUAAAGUCUUUUUAUCCAAGAAUGGGGGGGAAUGAAAACUCCUUUUCUGCAUUUUCAGAUUCUCAGAUGGCACAAGAUAAGUUGCAGAAUGAAGCUUUUCCACCUAAUGCAGCUACUUCUGUUCCUGCAAAAAGUCAGGUACUUUGGAAGUUGGAUGGGGAAUUCAGUAAAAAAAUCUACUUGAUCUUUUGUUAUAUCUAUUGAUUUUAUUGUGAGUUGCUUAUAGGAAUCACAAAAGUUGUUUUACAAUUCCCUAUAGCUAAAGCAAUAGGGUUAUGGAAUGGUUGCUUCUUCUUCUUCUUUCUCUACCUGUUUGAUAUCCUUCCUGUUUAAUUUAUAAGAAAAUAAAAUGAAAUAUCGAUUACUAAAACUAAACAAAUCUCAUCUCUGACAUUUUUAUGAAUAUGUUUUUGAAGGAUCUGGGAUCGACACCAACAUUGAGUGUAGGGCAGGUGCUUUUUCCAUAACAUAUGAGAGUUUUUUCCCCUCCUUUUGCUCUCUAGAAAUUACUCUUUCCUGACUAAGUGAAGCCAUUUAAUUUAGGCUUGCCUGGAUGGCUCUGAAGCGAUAUCAAGCCAUGGACAGCAACAACAGCUUUCAGAAGAAGUGAUAGUAAAACAAAGGUUAGCUUCCCCUUUUCCCAGAUUUUCUGUAUUUCUAUGGGCUAUGAAGAGGUCUAUUGUCAUUUCUCAUGAUUUCCACUUCUCUCUAUAUGUCACAGUGCUGAUGCCUCCAUUGCUGCUCCUGCUCCUGCUACUGCUCAUAGCCUUAGAGACAUCGAGGAGACUAGCCACCCUUCAAGCUUCACAGCAGAAACUGUUCGAGGCAAGAGUUUUAAAUCUGGUAGCGUACUAGUAGAACCUUUUUACUGACAAUAUGCAGCUUCAUACUUGACAAUGUACGGAGGAUUUUAGAGUGUGUUUGGCAGUGUGGUAGUGGUUGCUUUUCAAAUAGCUUUUCAUGCUGAAAUACAUGUCAAUGAUGUUUUUUCAUUUUUUUAAAAUUAUUUUUGACAUCAGCACAUCAAAACGAUCCAAAAAGUACAAACCGCAUUCAAUUUUAGCAAAAAAAAAAUAAUAAAUUCAAAAUUUGGCGAAACGCAAGUUGAAACGCACAACCAAACACUCUCUUAGUCUAUCCGUUCCUUGAUUGUCAGGUUAAAAGCUGCUUCUGUUUGAUUUGAUUGAUUCAGAAAUUGCACUGUACGUUUCUGAUUUUUGAGUGAUUAGGAUGUAUAAUAUGAGAGUUGUGCAUCAAUUCCGUUUUAUCUAUAUCCACAAAUCAGAAUUUAGAGUGUUCUGGAAGCUGAAUAAAUACUAGGAUUUCAGGGUAUACUGGAAGCUGAAUAAAUUUGGAAACAUGGUCUUACAUAAUGUCCUGUUCAAAAGCUCUUUCUUUUAAACUAUGGUCCUAACUUUCUAUGGUAGACUGUUGUCUGUCAAUAAGUAGUACCUUUUCUCUAGCUGAUCCUCUCUUGAUACAAUCCCAGAUUCAAUGUUACUUGAAGUAAAUUGUAUAGCGUCCAAGGAAGUUUCUGGAAGAGAUGAUGCAGUUGCUACCAAUGGCUGCCCUUCUUCAGCAUACAGGUGAAAAUCAUGGCGGGACUUCCUUUUCCACUGCUAAUUGCUUACUGUGAUUUUUUACUAAAUUCAUUUUCCUGUCUUUCAGUUUGCCUGCAGUACACUACGGAGAACAGGAGUCUAUGCUGUCUGGCAAAGAACACAGUUUAGUUGGUCCAGAUCAUGACAAGGUGACAAGAACUGCUCCUGGAGAGGAAACCUGCGAGCUUCUGAGUGAGGCUUCCAUGGAGGUGCCAAACGAUAAUGAAAUUGUUGGUUUUGCUAAUGACUCUGAAGACAGCUCCAGCAUGUACCAGGGAGGGUUAGUACAGGCUGUGGCUCGACCAAAUUCAAAACGCCGCUCGGUAUCCAGGACAACUGGUGCCAAGCAGCAAGGAAGAAAUGUUAGCGGCAGAGACAAAAGGAGAGGCAGAGGACGGGGUAAAUAAUGCUAAAUUAUGUCCUUGUACUCUAGUGUAAAAUUAGCUGUAAACUAGACUAGAAAGGGAGGAGGAUAGUGCCAUGACAGGGAAACAAUAAAGUUUAGCGAGGCUCAUAUAGCUCUCUUCGUUUAAUGCUAACUACGCUGGUUUCCCCCCUUCAAUCGGGUGUUCAGUAGCUGUUAAAUUUAGUUAUUGAUUUUCCAGUCCAGACAUUGAUUCAUGGUAUCAUGUCUGAAGAUUUGCAAGGUGUAGUCAGGAAUUGGUAUUUAUUUUGGUAGAAGAUUUGCAAGCUGUAGCAAAGUUGAUAUGUUUUGGCCUCUUUGGCUGUUCCUUCUCUAUCUUGGGUCAUCUUUGGCAUCAGUUGAAUUCACUUGAUUCGCAAGUUUCUUAACUAUUAAUCAAAGGUUUGAUGAAAUCAACGUGUACAUUUUCAAUUGUCGAAGAGUUUUUAACAAAUUCCGGAUUAAAAAUAACGAGUAUUUUAUGAUAUUUCUACCAUGUAAGAUUUUAUUGUAAUUAUGCUAUAAUUAGUGGUAUUUUAUUUUCAAUUUACUUUGAAAAAAUAGAUAUAUAAAAUAAAAUAAAAUAAAUUCCUUACCUUAUCAUAAGUUAUAAUCUAGGAUUUCUCUGGUAUUUGUAUCUGUUUCUUUUAGGAGUAUCUUCCUUCCUAAUCACUAACACUAACCCUAUGAUUGUCUAGGCAUCAAUUAUGAACUUUAGGAUCCUAUCUAUGAUAAAAAGAAAAAAGAAAAAUAAAAAGAAGAAGUGAAUACCAAUGCUUUAUGUGCAUGAUUGUAAACAAAAAAAAUGUACCUUAAAUAAACUCAAUUACCCAAAUAUAUUUAUUAAAUCUAGCAUGAAUUGAUCUAAAAACUUGAUGUAUAAAGAUCUAAUUAAACUAUAUUUGAAAUUAAACCAAUUAAAUAGUUCAUCUAAUAAAUUAUUUCAAUACUUAAUAGUGGAUCAACUCUUAUAUAUAUAUAUAUAUAUAUAAGUUAAAGGAGAGUAAUUCUCGCUCUCCUUAAAAAACUUAAAUUUUAAAAUAAAAACUAAUAAAAUUUAAGUUUUUACCCUCGAAAGUAUUUUUUUUUACCUUGACCUCCCCUAAAAGAAAUUUUCUCAGCUUUAGAGGAAAGAGAGAAAAAAGUUAUUCCAAUACGGUAACAAUCCCAACUUACAUAAACCUUCAACCCGACCGGUCUACCGCUGACUAGUACUAUCGACACUCUAUGCGAUCUCUUACAUAAACUCUCCUCCCUCUAAAAAGAAAAAAUCCUCAAAAUAUCAGAAAAGACACCACCAUGGAUCCCUAUCCUUCUUCUUCCUCCUCGAUAGCCCAAAAAACCUGGGAGCUCGAGAACAACAUUAAAGCUAUCGACACACCAACCCCAACAACAGCUACAGACACUUCUUUUUUAUCGGACGCGAUUUUUCACUACGAUGAUGCAGCACAAGCGAAGUUCCAGCAAGAAAAACCGUGGUCGAACGAUCCGAAUUAUUUUAGACGAGUGAGGAUCUCUGCUCUUGCUUUGUUAAAGAUGGUUGUCCAUGCUCGAUCAGGCGGGACAAUUGAAGUUAUGGGGCUAAUGCAAGGGAAAACUGAUGGGGAUUCUAUUAUUGUUAUGGAUGCUUUUGCUCUUCCCGUAGAAGGGACGGAGACGAGGGUUAAUGCUCAGGCUGAUGCUUAUGAGUAUAUGGUCGAUUAUUCUCAGACUAAUAAACAGGUUUGCUUGCUAGCCUAUUGCUUUUGAUUUUAUUCUUGGGUUUUCAAUUUAUAGAUCAUUGCUUCUUCUUUUUUGGGACGGGGUAUUUUGGAUUAUAAGGGUUUUGAAUUUUAAUUUUUUUUGGGUGAUUAGGGUUUUGGGGUUUGUAUUGUUGUGGUGGUUAUGUGUGCAGAGAGUGGUGCAUUGUUGGAAAUUUGUGAUUUGGCAGGAGGAGUGGAACCUUGAAUUUAUAAUUUGAGUUAGGAAAGUGAGUGUCUUGAACCCUGAUUUGGAGCUUAAUUGAAUUGAGGAUCAGUCUCAGAAUAUAAAAUUAUUACCUUUUGUGUUAUUAGAGGAUUUUUUAGGGUAUUGGCGUUUGUAUUGCUGUGGUUAUUUAGAGCAAAGAAUGGUUGCAUUGGUGAAAUUUUGUGAUUUUGAGGAAAAUAUAGAAACUAGGUUUUAGAAUGUUUGUGGAAUUGCUAAUUUGAUUUCAUGAAGUAGUCUAAAACCCUAAUUGGACCUUUAGUGAACUAAGUCUUGGUUUAAAAAUAGCUGCAUCCCUAACGUGGUUGUAAGAUAUGGGCAUGGUUUGAUUUAAUGAAGUUGUGUGUAUAUUUUACAUGAUUCUUUUGGCUGAUUAGGGUUUAGGGCUUUACUGGUUAUGUGUAGAGAAUGGCUGCUUUGUCAAAUUUUUAUAUGUUUGGAAAAGGAAAAUUCUAGAUUUAUACCUGUGAAGUGUGUGUGGAAUCCCUAAUGAAAAACCAUAACUUGAAGCUAAAUCCUGUGAAGGCUUGCUUCAAAAUAGUUGGUAGCCCAAAUUUAAUUGUUAGCCAAAUGCGUGUGUGCACACAUUGCGGCUUUAUGUCUGAAACCUUGAUAUCUGAUAGUUGAUGAGUUGAUUUUCAGGGAAAUUCAUGUGGUCUUAGUAGCUUGGCUUUUCUGUAUCUUUUAGAUUCAAGGGAACACUAAACAUGGAUAGAUUUUCUGUUAUGCUUUAGUCACCACUAGCUGAAUCUAAAAUGUUAAUCUUAUUACAUGUUAUUACUUGAAAGCGUAGGAAUUAAUUAUUGAACAGUGGUGCACAAGUUUCCACAUUUUGUAUUGGCAUUUAAAUGGACUCCUUUUAAUAGUUUUUAAAGUUGCAUAGAAGCAUUAUUUUUAAUCUGUCUUUUUUGUAAUCCAUUAAUUUCCAUUGCUUCCAAUCUACUUGGGCCUUUUUUUGACAAAAAAAGUGGUGUUUAUGCAGGCUGGACGUUUGGAGAAUGUUGUUGGGUGGUAUCACUCACAUCCUGGCUAUGGAUGCUGGCUUUCAGGUAUUGAUGUUUCAACCCAAAUGCUUAACCAGCAAUUUCAGGAGCCGUUUUUGGCAGUUGUUAUUGAUCCAACAAGGACUGUCUCAGCGGGGAAAGUUGAGAUUGGGGCAUUCAGGACAUAUCCAGAAGGAUACAAGCCUCCAGAUGAUCCUGUUUCUGAAUACCAAACUAUUCCUCUUAAUAAGAUUGAGGACUUUGGAGUUCAUUGCAAACAGGUUGUUAUAUUUGCCUUGACUGCUUGGCCUUAUGGUUUCAUAGUAUUCCAUUGUUGGCUAAUGCUACAUUGUUUUGCAGUAUUAUGCUUUGGAUAUAACUUAUUUCAAGUCUUCUCUUGAUUGCCACCUCUUGGAUCUUUUGUGGAACAAAUACUGGGUAAAUACACUUUCAUCUUCACCUCUCUUGGGCAAUGGAGACUAUGUUGCGGGGCAAAUUUCUGAUCUAGGUAAUUUCGAAGUUUUUGGUUUAUAUUUAUUUUGCACAAUUUUCUUCUACUUCUUGUCAUGACUAGAGAAAAGUAUAGCUGUAAAUAGUUGAAAGACCAGGCACUCAAAGUCCACGAGUAUCAGUAGCUUAUAUGUGAGAUGAAAAGACUGGAUAUUCUAACUGCCUAUCAAGAUGAAAUAAUCAUCCAUUUGCCAUGCAGCUGAGAAGCUGGAGCAUGCAGAGAAUCAAUUGUCACAUUCUCGAUUGGGACCAUUAAUGGCUCCUCAAAGAAAGAAAGAUGUGAGUAUACUUUUCAUUGAUAUCGUUAUAUCUAUGUUAAUUCAGAAGUAUGAUUGUUAACUCUGCUGAUGGAGGCUCUUUAAUCUAAUUGCACCAAAAAAAAUCACUGUCUUUAUGUGAAACAUAAAUUGUUUCCAAGUGACUAUUAUGCAUUAUAUUUGGUAUUUCUUUUUUUUAUAUGGCAUGCAAAACUAAACAGUGCUUUUCUGAUGGGACGUCUUUAAAGAUUAUUGACCCUUAUCUCAACAAGAGGAACAGUACAUAAGGCUUGCUCUGUGUGUGUGUUCUGCUGAAUGUUUUGUCUUUUGCAUAGAUAAUUAUUUGUGAGAAGUGACAUACUAUGUGCCCAAAAAUGUAUAUUUGAUGCAUUCAACCGAGAGGUCGCUUCAGUUUUCUUGCAUUGAUCAGUAGAAACUGAUGCAAACAGUGUUGGCAAAAAUAUCCAUUGAACUGUAAGACAGCCUCUAAACGUGUCACCAUCAUUGCAACAUGUAGAUGUUCUGUACCUGCAUUAAACUGUACGCAUGUGGGUAUACAACUAUGCACUGCAUUUACCUUAAGACGUGCUACCGCACAUUGCUUUGGUCAUGAAACUUUUUUAUUUUCUUUUCUGCUCAGCGAAAACGCUUAACCCUCAAUAAGAGGACAUUGGCCUGCAUAAGUUAUGUUUAAUGUUAACAUGUCAUGCAUGUGAAAAAAAACAAAUAAAAUUCCAUAUAUAGUAACAUUAUGGAAAUUUCCUUGGCCAAAGAUUCCAUCCACCUCUUUCUCUUGUUGGAAUUACUUGUUGGGGAAAAGGCAGGGCACAGAAGACUGACUUUGUUUUAUAUGAAUUACAACUUGAAGAUAAAUUAUUACUUAGAUUUGCCAUCUUCAAUUAUCAUCUUAGGAUCCAUGUCCUUCAUGGGUGCUAGCUGUGUCCCAUGCAUGCUUACAUUUUCUUCUUCUUAAUUCUACAUUUCUUUUGUUCUAUUCAGUUACUUUUGCAUCUUAAACAUCUGUUCUUUUUAUCAUUUAUGGUCCUGUCUCUCUCCGGUUUCGACUUUAUUUUGGAUUUUUAUAAUUUUCUUAAUUGCAGGAAGAAUCUCAACUUGCAAAAAUUACUCGUGAUAGUGCUAAGAUAACUGUGGAGCAGGUCCAUGGUCUCAUGUCACAGGUAACUGGCCGGUCCAAUUUUUAGAUGCCUGCCUAACUUUGAACAGUUUUAUUAUUUAGGCUAAUCUUAUUUUUCUUUCUUUCCUUUUUAUGCCUAGGUUAUCAAGGACAUCCUUUUCAACUCUGUUCGUCAAUCAAAUAGAUCUCGUGCAGAGACAUCCGGCCCUGAGCCAAUGGUUGAAACAUGAUUGAUGUUAAUUCUUUGAAGAAUGGUUGCUUGGGAUUACUAUCUCUUUUAAACAUUUAUUAAAUUGGGUUUGCAUUAACCAUUUGGAUUCCUGUUCUGGCUUGGUCCCUGCUAUGUAGCUCAAGAAAAAAAAAAUUAUCGCCCUUCAUUUAUUGGAUCACUAUCUUGUCUGCUGAGUCAGCUACAGCGGCAUAUGGCCAGUAGGGGAGAAAAGGAACACAAAAAGAUAACCAGUACUGCACAUCUGCUGUUCAUAGCAUAUGAGACUGUAUUAUACAGUGCUGCAACACUUACACCACCAGAAAAUGGGGAAAUUAAAUGUGGAAAAGGACAUCCAUCUGUCAUGGAUUUUCAAGAAGAGUUGAAGAAAUGGACGGUAGAAAAAGUGAAGGAAAAAGAUUUUAGUGAAUCAUAUGGAAGAAUAGUGACAGCAUCCGAAUCCAAUUAGUAGACUGAGAACAAAAAUGGAGAACCUUUUGUUUUGCUAUACAAGUGCUAUUCACAUGCAGAGCUCGCAAGCAAGCUCUUUGUUAAUUUUCUAAUUGUAUUCAUUUGGCCUUUGGAUGCUAUAGUGUAAGGAAGACCCUAUCUUUAUAGGGUCUGUCCACUCCACCAUCACCAUCACCAUCCACUAGAGAAGGAAAUGGCCGAUAGCAAAAAGCCAUACCAAAUCUUCCACUUUAAAUCCCUAGUGGAUCUUCCAUGGACACUAUUAGAAAUCAUACCUUCCAUGACUUCCCUCCCUCCCUCCCUCCUCUCUCACACACACGCACGCAGGGAGACAGACACAGCCCUUCGUUUUUUAGCUCAGAUUCUCGUAAGAUAGAUUCUCGUAAGAUAAUGAAAAGAGAUCUCUAAUUUCACGAGGACUGGUCCUCAGACAUGGAUUUUGGUUCUUGGGGGUGUUUAAUACAUGUGGAUAUGAAGCAUUAAUGCUCGUGACAAUGUCACAUGGAAGCAGCUCUACACCACAACUAGCUAGCCCCUCUCUUUGCAUGUCAUUUUGCUCGUCACUUCUCUGCUCGUGAUGGACGCAAUUUAAUUUGUAGCUUUGAAUCCAUGGAGGAAGGGAGAAAAACAUGUGAUGGCAUGCAUCUAUAGAGUCUUGUAGCUCUACCUGGCAUGCUCUGAGUGGUGGUUAAAAUUUAGAACAAGAUUUAUUAUGUAUUAAUCUUUUUUUUUUAAUCUAUUUAGUUUUUGUCUCAUGGACAUUCACGUGUCUUCUCCAAUCAAUUCUAUAGAGAAAAAGGCUUCUCAUUAACCUUUGAUUGUCAUGCUCGGUCCUUUCCCGUGAGCAAUCAAGGGAUCCUUUCACGGUUUCAGAAAUACUUUAACUAAUCAUUUAUAUCUUGAAGAUCAUCCAUGUUGAUUCAUAAUCUAUUGAAAGAAAUGGAAAAUCUCCACAGCUAAUUAAUACUCGUAAUAUCACACCCCUAGUUAAAUAGUUUAGUUGGAGGGUUUUUUUUUCUUACAUAUAUAUAAUAAAAUUGAAUACAAAACCUUUGAGAAAAAAAAAAGUUUAACCACAUUUGUUUAAACUGUGAGAACCAUGUUUUAACAGGUUAAUAUGAAGUUUUAAUCAGAUUACUUUUUUAUUUUUUAAUAAAUUUGAACCGAUUCAAGUUUUGAUCAACUAAAUCUUGAGUUGGCCUACCAUACCAAGUUUGAUAAUACUAGUUUAAACUUUUAUCAUAUAUACUUUGUUAGAGAAUAAUAUAAAUCAUAUUAGGAUCUUAUUUAAUAGUUUAAGCUAUUGGGUUGAGAUGGUUCUUUGACAUGGUAUUAGAACCUUGAUGAUUAAGCGGUUAUGAGUUUGAAUCUCACCAUCCCUAUUUAUUUGAUAAAAAUUAAGCACAAGAUAAUGUAAAUAUAUUCAAGUUUCAAGGUCAAAAGGUUUUUUCUUGAGAGGGUAUAUUAGAAAAUAAUAUAAAUCAUGUAUUAAGAUUUUAUCUAACAGCUUAAUCUAUUAAAUUGAAAUAGCUCUUUGACAUACCUAAUGAAGAUGUGUAUUAAAGCUAUCUUUAGAAAAUUAAAAAGUCACAUGUGAAUUAGUUUUAAUAAAAAGAGAGAAGUAUUGCAAGGUCGAAUAUGAGGAUAGUGGGACUUGUGUUGGAUAUCUGGUCCAGUAUCCGAUUCCUUUUUCUUGCCCUAAUCUUGAUGUCUUGUCUUAAUACAGAGGUACAUGCAUGGUCCCAACUUCCACCUACCUGCUACCAUGAAGAAAUAUGACAAUCAACAAAGGAUUAGGCAUUAGCUCAGAGCCAACCCUAAUUGUGUCUCCUCUUUAUAUUUUAUUUUAUUUUAUUUUAUUUUAUUGUGAAGGAGAUUUUAGUCCCUUCGAGUUAGGGUGGGGGGAGAUAGGUAUAUGUGCUCUAGCCACUUUCGAAAGUGGGUGUCUGCUAUCCCUUGCAUCAACUCCAUAUCCUGCUGGAGCUUGGAAUCUAAGUAGGGCCAUGCCCAAGAGGAGGAAAAAGUAGAUAAAUCACUCUAUUAUUCUGACUUUUCUUUGAAAAAAGCCACUCAGCACUGCGGUUGCAACUGCGUUUUAGCAACAAAAACAUCAAAAAAGAUGUUUCUGUUAUGGUGCAACCUGCGGUGUGCCUUGAAAUCCAGGGUAAGUCAAUGACUGCAUGCAAAAAGAGUCGACCUCUCUAGUCGAUCUUAGGAAAAUGAUAAAAACUACGUGAGCCAGCUCUCAAGAAUCUCUCUGAUGAGGUGUACAUAAUUGAAAGAAGAACAAUACGCAUCUUUCAUACUUUCCUCACCACCUCCAUUAAUCUCUGUCUGCUCACUUUAAGCUUCCAUAUCAACCCGUGUCCAUCUCUCAUUUGUUCAAAUGGUCAAAAGGCUCUUUUCAAAACCCUAAAAGUAGAAGGGUGGACCCUAACGGAGAACCAAAAUCAUGGACCAUAACCUUCUCCUGCGUACAUUAAUGAAAACAGUCCUCGCCAUUUAGGAUGGUUCUGAUUGCUGAUGAGGGAAUAUAACCCAUUUGUAAUGCUCUGUGAGCUUGCUGUUGUGUAUAAAAUGAUUCUCUCCUUCUCUUUCUUUCUUUCAACUUUGCCCACUACUUGCUUAUAAUUAUGUGUUUUUUUCUUCUUAAAAUAACAUGGGAAGUAUAUAAAAUCUUUUGCAAAUUAGCAUAUAUAUAAAUGGAGAAGAAUAAUUGGGAUUGAUUUAUCAUAUUUUUAUUAGCUAAUUAGCUACUCCCAACAGCUAAGUUUUUUAGGUUCCCAUGGGGAAUACUUUCAGAUGCUGCAUGGAUUUAUUAUAAAUCAUGAUUUAGGUCUUGUCAUCCUCCACUUGCAAGAAGCACAAUCUAUGAAAAUCUUGUUGGUGCCUUACUUUUUAAGAGGAUUAUUUUAUUCUUGCUUGAUCUAAUUAUUUUUAAUGUUUUUGUAUUUAAUAUAAAUUAAAAUUAAGUUUUAAAAAUUUAAAAAUAUAUUUUAAUAUAUUAAAAAAAAACAUCUUGGAAUUUUCAACCAGCAGUUCAACCUCUACCUAGAAUUUUAAAUUUUAUUAUUUAAAAAACAAUAAAAAAAUUGACAUGAGUAGGUAUCAAUUCUCCAACCGACCAUUUCUAGAGGGUCAAGCGAAAGAGACAUGUUAGUCAAAUCUACAGAGCUCCACUUUCAAAAGAUAAAAUAUGCUGCUAAUAUUCUUAAUAAUAACAAUUAAUUUGGUAAUAUUUGUCAAACUUCUUAAGCCAAAAUAAAACAAGGAAGUACCUCUUGUACGGCUCCUUUUGACUGUGCACUCAAUUAUCAAGUGGCAUUUCCGUGAUCGUGACUAGGCCUAACCCUAACCAUAACCCUAACCUAACCUAACAUAUAUAUAUAUAUAUAUAUAUAUAUAUAUGCCUUGCAAUGACCGCAACAAUCUAGCCUAAAAUCCAGAGUCAUCGAAGCUUGGAAGGGCUUGUAAAGUUGAAGAUAAUUGAGAACAACAUGUGGUGAUUGAUUGAUUGAUUGAUACCUGCGCUUACGAGGCAUGCAUCGGAUACUCUUAUUUUAUAGAUUAAUAUUCAUCCAAAAAAGCUAGAUAAGUUCUUAUACUAUAAGACAAAGGAUAAAAUUCUAAAUUUGUUCCAAAAAAAUAAAAAUAAUUAGCUUGAUUACUAUUAAAUUUUAAAGUUAUUGAAAUUUACAUUUAUUUUAGAAUACAUAAAAUUAAUUAAGGUAUGCAUUUAAUAAAAAAAAUAUUAGUGAGAGAUGAAUGUUGCAAUAACUACAUAAUUUAAUUCUCAUAAUCUUCAGCUAAUCAUCAUUAAUAUUAACCACUCGUGAAUUGAUGAUUAUCUUUUUUAAUUUUUUUUUAUAUAUAUUUGAGUAAAACCACAAGAAGUAAACUCGCUCAAAAACUCACGAGAAAUUGAAGUUCGAGAGACCAGACAAAACACGGAGAAGAAAGAAGGGCGGGGGGCAUGCAUUUUCAAAGUUAAAAGUCGAAUCCCUGUCACGUGUGAAAUGGAAUCAAAUGGCAUGAAUUUUCAAAGUUAAAUUUAUUUUCCAUAAAUUUACAGUGAGGUAUAAGCCAAAGUGGCCCCCACCAUUUUUUUGAAGCACAAUUUCAAUUUGGAUCCGUAUUCAAGGCCGUCCGUUAGGCCAUUCUCUGGCAUCCUGAUCUAGACAUUCAGGGAUCUGAUCGGAAAGAUGAGUCAGCUCUUUGGGAAUCACUUGGUUUCCCAUUUCCGGGUUCGGGUCCCACCCACCCACGUGGUGCUUUCCAUUGAAAUCUCUCGGGUCGUUUGAAAAACUUGUUUGAAUUAUUAUUUUUUAAAAUUUUAAAUAUUUUUAAAUUGUUUUAAUAUAAUAAUAUUAAAACAAUCAAAAAUUUAUUUUUUUAAAAAAAUAUUUUUAAAUAAAAAAUAACAUGCCUAAAUAUAAGAUUAGGGUCAGAUUACAUAAAGUCUUUGAAAUUUGAAAAGUACCCAGAAACCUUUGAUCCAAGGAAACAAACGUACGGUAAUGACAUAACAUUGUACUUGAAUAAAAUCAAAACCUCACAAAAUCCUUAAAAAAAAAAAAAACUUAUCUCUAAAAUCAUCCAAUAAUAACGCAAGGUGUUGGAAACUUAUGGUGGUUAUGGGGACAGAAGAAGACAACCAACCUAUGAAAGUAAAUUUGGGUCCUCAAGGAAACAGAGGU